rnacentral:lncRNA from 1 species
UUUUUUUUUUUUUUUUUUUGCUAAAUUGUCAUUCUUUUAGGGACCAUUUUCCAAUGGUUCUAGAGACAGACACAAGAGAACACCUUGGAAUGGAGUCUCAAUGCACUCUCCAAAAACACAUUCACCCAUCUCAUUCAAACACAGAAUAGUAACUAAAACUUUUUCAACAAUUACUUUUGAUCGAUUGAAAUUUUAAAGAUUCACCUGAGUAACUAAAAACUAAGGAGUGAAAAUACCUAAAAAUUAAAAAUAAAGAAAUAGAAUAUCGCUAUAAAGUGGGAGAAAUGGUGGUCAAGAGUAAUUAGUAAUUUUCAAAGUCACAGCAUUUGUAAUUUCCGGAUUUUCCUAUAUGUGUUUAGCAGGUGCUUUCAGGAGAGAUAAAUGAUGCCUACGACAAGGAUGACUUCAAAGAUAUGGAUGUGAUUAGAAAAUGCAUAUAUAUAAUUUCAUUAAACCCAUUUUUAAAGUGACAAACACACCAAAGAACCUGAAUAUUUAGUUUGGAAGCCUGCUACUAAUUCUUCUUCGGCUUCUGGUAAAUCAAAAGGCAAUCUCUCACACUCGGCUAAAGAAGAAAUUAGAAAAAUGAUAAAUUCUAUAGGUUGACGCCAUAAAUUCCAUCCCCAAAAUCCAUAUUUUGACUGCGCUUCAACUAUGUCAACCGUACUUGAAUUGUUAGAUAAUCAUAGUCGUUGACUGAGAUAAUCUCAACUGUUCCCAUUACUAUUACGGAACCGUACAUGAGAUUUUCACCUCAUACAGUUCCUCAAAGAUCACAAAUAAAUCUAAAGGACAUUUCACUAUAUUAUUAUCUUGAUAUUUUGUAAGAUAGUUAUCAUGUAAGUUCAUGAAUUAGAUCGAUGGAAUUCUGUUUGCUAUAUUUGAUAUAUCAUCAAAGCAUUAUGUUACUUAAUGAAUCUACAUAGAAGCAUGGGAAUAACAGUGAUUAUUAAAUGAUAGAGUUUUACUAUUUUUGAUAUUAUUUAUGGAAAUAUCACAUUCCAAAGAUUGAGAGCUCUCCCAAAAGAACUGUUUUCUUGAUUAAAUAGAAAUACAUCUAUUACUUGAAUUAACAUAGAUUCUCAUGCAUUUUAUCAUUGAAUCCUAUUCUUUGUACAGGUUCUUUGUUUCAAUGGUGUUACAAUAAAGAAUUUAAAGAGCUUGGCCAAAAUGGUGGAAAACUGUGAGGAUGAAUUUUUGCAGUUUGCCUUGAACAUGGAAAGGUAUUUAUUUUUCUGCUCAUUUAAUCUAUGAAUCUUCUUCUUCUUCUUCUUGUUAUUUUUGCAGUUUGACCUAAAGUUGUACCUCAUUUGUGCAUUAAUUACAGAGAAUUGUUUUACGAGCACAAAAGGCAAAGCCAGCAAAUAAAGAAAUUUUGAAGAAGCAGUACUCCGUACAUUCAACAAUGUCAGGCGAUCUCUUGAAGGAAUUCAAGCAGCCCGGUACUCCUUAAAGAACUUUGUUUUCUCUUUAAGGUACAUUAACCCCGGCCUAUGUACGGGGGGAGAAAUGAGGUGUUGCAAGAAUCUAUAUACCCUGACAUCUGUUUUUGAGAGAAGAACAUAUUUUUUGUUAUCAAAAGCCCUAUACAUAUCUUUUAAUUAUCUUCUUAGGGAAUAUCAAUGGCAUCUUUUUUGUAUUUUUUUUUAAGUAUGAUUUGUCAAUGGAGUUGCAAUUUGGUCUUGUUUGGCACCCGAAUUUUUUUGUCAUAUUUUAAUAGAUAAGUUUUUUUUUUAUAACUUUGUCUGUAGUAACUCUCUAAAAAUGUCCAAAAAUUUUAAUAUACAAAUUUUAAAAUACCUAAAAACACACAAAAUUUUUUCUUUCUUUCCCUUUUUUUUUGCUUCCUCCUCCCCCAUCUCAAGUCUCAACCACCACUACUCACUGGCACUCUUAUGAAGCUAAUGCUCCAGCAUCCAUCCUCCUCCUCUCCUCCUCCUCCUCCUCCUCCCUUUCUCCCUUAUCCUCCUUCCCUUCCCUCUCUCCCUUCUCUCCCCCGCUCUUCCUCUUUCUCCUCUACUCCCCUCCCCUCCAGUUGCGAGAGGAGGAGAGGGAGAGAGGAGCAAAGAGAAAGAGAAAAAAAAAAGUUGAGAUGGUGGUAGCGGCCAGUGGCUAGCAGUGAGGAGGAGGAAGGAGAAAGAGCAGAAGAAGAACAAACGGAAAAAAAAAAAGAAAGAAUAAGAAAAAAAGGAAAAAAAUUCUUUUUGCCAAACCUUAUAUAUAAGUUUUUCUACAAGGGAAAAUACCGGUUUUCAUCCCCAAACUUUAGGGUAAGGACACAUUUCGUCCCUCAACUUUUGGGCAUGACACAUUUGAUGUCUGAAUUAAUAUUUUUUGACCAAUGUCAUCCUCAAACGGUAAUUUAGCCAAUUUUUAACGGAACUGAUCACGUGAAAAUCACAUGACCGUUUAAGUAAACUUAAAUCACAUUUUUAACAAAACCUGCCAGUUUCCCAUAAAGAGUUGAUAUAUUAUGGGCAAUUUAUUAUUUUUUUUAACUUUCACAUAUUUGAUUUAUGUUAAAUACAAAAUAUACUAGUUUUCCUUUGGGCGCUAUUUAACCAAUUUUCCUAUAAAGAGUUGGUAUGUUUCCCAUAAAGAUCUGGUACAAAACAUACUACAAAAUCUGCCAGUUUUCCAUAAAGAACUUGCAGGGUUGUUAAAAAUGUGAUUUAAGUUUACUUAACGGUCAUGUGAUUUUCACGUGACCAGUUCCGUUAAAAAUUGGCUAAAUUGCCAUUUGAGCAUGACAUUGGUCAAAAAUUAUUAAUUCAGACAUCAAAUAUGUCGUGCCCAAAAGUUGAGGGACGAAAUGUGUCCUUACUCCAAAGUUUGGGGAUGAAAACCGCAUUUUCCCUUUCUACAAUUUCUACAUUAGUAAAAUUUUAUAUAAACAUCCAAAAAAUUCAUCAUCCAAAUGGACUGUACCUUUUAAAAACACCUCAUAUAUAUCUAGACUUGUAUUAACAUGCAAAAGGUUACCUCCCCUCACCUCCACCUCCACCUCCACUCUCGCCUGGUUUCUAUGCAUCCCUCUCCAGGUCUCUCCCCCUCCCUGCCCAGCCUCCUUCCACCUCACCAUCAAUCACAUUUCUCCCCUCCUCCCAUUACUUUCAAUGUUUAUUUCAUAAUUUUCUAGUUAUUUUUCGCUAAAUUCAAUACUAUUAUUGCAGUCUCCAAAAUCAUAUUUCAGGGUUAGAUUUGGACUGUUGAAGGUAGUCGAAAAUAUUUUUUUUUUUUGUGUGAAAAGUUUUCGAAAACGCCGCAUCCGAAAGUUUUUGAUAAAACACAUUAAGAAAUGUCCUUUAAAAAUAGACAAACUGUCUUGGAGUAAAUGAACUUGUUAAUUUUUGGAAUUUGACAUGCUCUCAAGCAGACAACUUCCUAUCUGCAGGAAAACAAAAAAAUAAAAUAAAGAAUUCCUGUGACCACUAGAGACAGACAAAAGAGAACACCUUAAUUCGAAUGGAAUCUGAAUUCACUCUCCAGUCUCCAAAAAGAUAUUCACCCAUCUCAUUCAAACACAAAAAAGUAAAAGCAAACCAAAAAGAACAAAAGGAAGAACACAAACUGAAAUUAAAAAAGAAAAAGGUACAGAAUUAUUUAUAAAAGAACAUCUCAGAUUCUUUAUGCUUCUGCUCCUGGACACUGCACCCUGUUUCUGCAACCCCCCCCCCUCUCUCUCUCUCUCUCUUCCUACCCACUCUCAAAAAAAAAAUUAAAAAAAACUCUCCCUUGCUUUUGCCUUUAUCACCUCAAAAUCUACAAUCCCACCUCUUAACAAAAUCCAUGGCACCAUCAUCUAAUGUGGUGCAGAUGAGAAUACACACACUACACGCACUACUACUCAUCAGCAGUAGUUUAGUCAUCCAUGUGGCAGCAGCAACAUGGUGUGUAGCCAGAAGUGAUGCAAGUGAUCAAGCUUUGCAAACAGCACUGGACUAUGCUUGCAGUGCUGGUGCAGAUUGUGCACUCUUCAAUCAACUGGGCUGUGUUAUCUUCCCAACACUCUCAUUGCUCAUGCUUCUUAUGCCUUCAAUAGUUAUUACCAGCGCAAGGCCAUGGCUCCAGGAUCCUGUAGCUUUGCUGGCACCUCCACCAUAGCCAAAACUGAUCCAAGUAAUUUGUUUCUCUCCAACCCUUUUCAAGAUAACUGGUUGCAUGCGUAUAUAUGUGUUUUCUUUUGGGAAUUUGUGCCUGAUUUUAUAUAUAUAUAUAUUUUUUGUUCUUUUCUUCAUUUUGGAUUUUCAGGCUAUGGAUCUUGCGUUUAUCCAUCAUCUCCGAGGUAUGCUUUUUCUCCUUUUCUUUUGUUUCAUUCUCUUUAGUGCUUUGUCGUCUGUGAUUUGAGUCCUAUCUUUAGUUGCAUAGUUGCAGUUUUUUCCUUUAAAAGCAUGAAUUGUCAAGGUUGUUCUAUUCUUUUCAUACUUUCUUUUUGUGAUGUAGUCUUGUUAGUACUAUUUAGAGACCCAAAUUAAGCUUUAAUUUUUAGGUAUUUUCUUUGGUUACACAAUUAUUUUUCACUAAUUAUCGGUAUUAAGCCAUCUUACAUAUAAGAAGAUGUAUAUAUUUACUGUUUCUUUUUGGUCUAUUUGUUCAAAAAAAAAAACAAAAAGAUUAUAAGUAGAGCAGCCAACAUUGGAUUGGACAAUUAACAAAAAAUAAAUAAGAUUACGAAUAUAAUAAGAUGUUAGACUAUAUAUCCUUCUCUCAACCAUAGAACUUGAAUCCAAAACAUUUUAGGCUCAUAUGAUACCUCAAUCUUGGCUGCUGGCUUGUUUUUCUGUCAUUAGACAUAGGACUCAUUUGUGACUUAUUAAGCUUGGCCAAUUAUCGGUCAUCAUGACAGAUGAGAUUGCAACCGUUUAAUGUCACAGUAAUUUUUGUUGAAAUGACAAACUAUCACCUUCUAAGUCAAAAUCAUAGUAACAUUUGAUCUGACUUAAAAGGAGUAAAUUUGUCGAUUAUUUAAAAAAAAAAAAUUUGCUGUGAUAUUAACAUUAAACUUUUAAUAAUAUCAUUUUUCGCGAGUUAUUAAUAUUCAUAACUCAGAAAUCGAUCCCACAUGAUAAUCUUUUGUAACAAUUUCAAGAUUAUCCCCUUUUUAAGUCUAAAAGAAAUCCUGACUUAAAAGGAUAAGCCCUUGUUUGGAUUGCAAUUCUUUUUCAAAAAAUUUUUUUACUCUUUUUCAUUAAUAUAAUUUUUUAAUCAUCUUUUUCUUCAUAUACAUCAAAUUUCUACGAUAUAAUUUUUACAUUUUUCAUGAAUACAAUUUUUUUAGUCAUCUUUUUUCGUUUAACUUUUAUACAUGAUCUUUCUUUUCAGUCUUAUUUGGAAAGUUAUUUUUCAUCAAAAAAAAACUUCUACGUUUUUCGCAAACACAUUUUCUAUUCAUCUUUUUAUUUCACAUAUAUCAAAUUAUUACAAUAUUUUUUUUUAUAAAAAUUCCAAAAAAUUGCAAUUCAACGGGCUCUAAAAUUUGAUGGAAAAAUUUGGUCAUGGCAUUAACUUUUUUGACAUCACCCUAAGGUGAUGGAUGGAUCAUGGGGUGCGCGAGCGCCUCAUGGGUGAUGUACGUUGUAUAGGAUGCUUAGGUGUUCGGGUUUGUCCAUUGUGCAUUCUCACGUGGACGUAUUCAAUGGAUGUCUUCCACGUGUAAAUGUGGACGAGAAUGGACGUGGCUGAUUGUUUGUACGUGGCUUUGGUAGCCUGCUUUACUGCAGAGUUGGUUCUUGGGCUGUGUUGUCUUCAACGUUAGACUUAGACCGCAGGAUCGUUCUUAUUGUUUAGAUGGCAAUUUGCACGGCUGAGAUCUUAUUGAAAGGGGGGGGUACGACCCCACAUCAGCACCUGAUUCCAAAAUUAGCAUCGACCCCACAAGUCACUGUAUGUGGCUGCCUUUUAUGACUUUCUUCGCAGAGUUUCUAUUUCCAUUGACUCACUUUCAUCGUAAAUUAUGAUAGAUUAGAUUAUAAGAAUAUUAUCAUUGCAACAAAAAAAAAGAAAAAAUCACCUCAAUUCAUCACUUGUGCCUGUUGAUAUUGCUACACAACUUUGCUGCCGCGGUAUGUUUGGCUAAUUCCUCAUAAUGUGAUCCUUUAAAAAACGAUUGGUCAAAUAUAAAUGUGUAAAGUUCUAUUCUUAUUCUAUACCUGUCAUGUCUACAUAACAUGACAGGUCCGUCAAGCAAUUUCUUUUAAAUAACUAUGCCACAAACAAUUUUUUUUUUCAAAAAACAAACAUGAUUGUCACAUCUACAUGGCACGAUGGUCCAAAAAAUUGAAAUUUUUUAUGGCCUAUUGUGCCAUAUUGGCGCGACAAAUCUGAAAAAUUUAAAAAAAAAGUUAUUGUUACUUCUUGUUGUUGAUCCAACAUUCAUCAACUACUAGCUCUCAACCAUUAUAUAAAUGCGUUCUCUUGCAUUACUUUGCAAGAAGUAUCAAUUUUUCACCUCCAUUUCUCUCUCUAAAAUUUUAUUUUCGUGUUUCUCUUCUACUUCUCUCUAAACAAUAGCAUCUCUCUCUCUCUCUCUCUCUCUCCUCCAUUUGAAAAAGAGAGAGGGAGGUGAGAAAUAGCUAUUUCUUGCGAAGUAAAGUAAGAGAACACAUUGGAUCAACUGCUAUAAGUAACAGUAAUUUUUUAAAAAAUCUUUUAGGCCCAUUGUGCCAACACGAAUUUUAACUUUUUGGGUCAUCAUGCCAUGUAAGCGCAACAGCCAUGUUUGGUACGAUGGGCAUAGAACAAGAAUAGAACUCUAUACAUCCAUAAUUGCUCGAUCUUUUUUUGAAAGGAUUACAGCUUGAGGAAUUAGCUGUUGACUUAAAAUGGUGGAUUUGUACUUUAUACUCUUAUAUUCGAUAAGAAGAGUUAAAUUAAAUGUGCGGUAGGGAGGAGAGAUGAAUUGAGUGGUUUGACGAACGGUGUGCAAGUGAGAGAUAUUGAAUUCGAUCUCUUCCACUUACACUUAAAAGAAAAGGAUUAAAAAAAUAUUAAAUGUGUGGUGGGCCUGGUGGCCAAUUCAUCAUUUAGUCAUAUUGGCCAUUUAGGCAAAUUUCUAGAAAUAAUACUAGAAAAAAAGUUAUCAUAAAAGUGGAGUCAUGUGAGAAAGGUUUUUCUUUUUAACAUUUGCCACAUUCGAUGAAUGCUAGGAAAGUUUUUUCUUUGCUAAUGUUUGCCACAUUUGACGAAUGUGAUGACAGUCACUUUUUAUUUUUAAAAUGUUCUGAACGAAUUUAAAAGAAAAAAAAAACUGUGUUGCCGCAAGUAAUCAGGUACGACAACUGAAAGCAGGAUUUAAAUUUUUUAAUACAAAUGGCGACUCACACAAAGCUUUUUUAGCAAAAAAAAAAUUUUUUUUGAGUCAUUGCAAACAAUUUUUUUUAAAAAAAAUAUGAAGUGACUCAAACAAAUUUUUUUGAACAAAAAACUAUUAGAGAGAUGCGACAACAUAUUUUUCUUUUUUUUUUUAAUCCAAGGAAUCUAACUAUUGAUCAACCGUUGAUGAAAGGCUAGAUUCUUUUGAUGUUCACGAGAUACUAUUUGAAAAAAAUAAAAAUUUUUAAAAAAAGAUAACUGUUGAUCAACAGCUUUUAUAGCUGUUGGAUGGCUACAAAAUAUCUAUAAUAUACUCUCAAUUUUGAAUCUUGAACUCGUAGCAUCCUCAUUUUUUGCUUUUCCAUUUCUCUCUCCCUAUUUUUGGAGAGUUGCAGAGUAGCAGAAUAGGCAAAGAGAAAUGGAGGCAAAAUGGAGAUGGUGUGGAUUCAAACUUCAGAAUUGGGGCUAUAUAUAGAUGUUUUGUGGCCAUCCAACGACCGUAAAAGCUUUUGAUCAAUGGCUCACUUUUUUUCUUUUUUUUUCCCAAACGACAUUUUCAUGAAUAUUGAGGGGAUUUAGCCAUUGAUCAACAAUUAGAUUCCUUGGAUUAAAAAAAAAAAGAAAAAUAUAUGCGGUGACUCUAAUAGUUAAAAAAACUUUGUGUGCUGAAACUUACUUUUUUUUUUUUUUUUAAAUUAAUCUUGCUUUUAGUCGCCGAAUCUAAUUACAUGGGAUGACACGAUUUUUUAAAAAUAUCAUUGAGGACAUUUUAAAAAAUUACAAAAAAAAAUGUCAUUGCAUUUAUCAAAUGUGGCAAUAUUAAAAGAGAAAAUUUUUCCACAUAACCCCACCUUUGUGAUAAUCUUUUUUCAGCAUUAUUUCUAGAAAUUUGCCACCAUUUAGUGAAAUUGGGCUUUGGCGCUAAAAUUAGUGCAGUUAAUUUUAUUUUAGAUCAUUAAACUAUAGAUGCUUUCUUAUUUUAGUCCUUAAAUUUGAAUUGUGGACUCUUUAUACUUUAAAUUAUGAAAUUUGUCCCACUUCAGUAUAAUCAUUGUGCUGAAACUAACAAAAUCUUCCGUGCCACUUUGAGCAUUCUUGCCAACUAUAUUUGUUCGAUUUGACGAUUCAGUCAAUGAUUAUAUUGAAGUGGGAGAAUUGUAUUAUUUUAAAAUGUAAAGUGGACUGAAAUGGAUGCACAUUUAUUGUUGAAGGAUCUAAAAUAAAAUUGAUCUAACUUAAUACUAUAAUAAUAUCAGGAGGCAUAAGUUGUAUUAAUAAAAUGAUUUCAAAAAAGCAGAGGACUUGCAGGUGAUAUACAGUGCCCCCCCACCCCCUCCUCCCCUCCUCUCCCCUCCCCUCCCAUCCCAAAACCCAAAACCCUUCUCUUGUAACGCUUCUCUUAAAAAAUUUUUAAGGAAAGAAAGAAGUCACAAUUUCCAGCAUAACUGAUCAAGUGCAAGGUACAAAUGUUGAAGAGACGAAAGCUUAAGGUUGUGUUUGGAUUGCAUUUUUUAGGAUUUUUUUGUAGAAAAAUACUGUAAAAUUUGAUGCAUGUAAGGAAAAAAGAUAAUAGGAAAAUGUGAUCACGGAAAACGACGCAAUUUUCAGGCGGAAAAUGGCUGUCCAAACAAGGCCUUAAUCUUGUUGAAAUACGGCCAGAGAACUGUCUAAGCAUUCAUAUUGAUAAUUAAAGACUAUUAGAUGAAUGGAAAAGUUCAAGAAACGAACGUAUUAUAUUUAAAGAUUCAAGCAGAAUAUUCUGAUGGAUAUCAAGACUGUAAAGGUAAGACUCUUAAAAUAUUGGAUUCAAUGCCUUUCAAGGAACAACUUGUAAUUUAUAAUAAAGUCAGAAACUUGGAAUCUGUAAAUUCUUCAAUUCUUUUUUUUUUUUAAUUCAGGGUAAGAAUCUAAAGUUUCCACAGCCUGCAAUUUAGCUAGUGAUCUACAUAGAAGAGAUUGUAUCAUAUUAUUCACAUUAUACAAAGAGAAUGUUUGACGGCUAUCAUCCUGCUAUAGCAAUUUUUCUUGUAAACCAUUCUCUAAAUGUGUUAUAAAUCAGGUGAUGAGUGAUGAUCCCAUACCAGAAGCUUUCAGAAACUACAGACAUUAAUUGCUUAUAUACUCGUAAUAUUGCUGUAUAAGAGUUUCUUAUGUUUUUGGACCUGGUUUGAAAGAGGAGAGGAGAAGUUGGUUAAUUUGAUAAAAGGAGCUUAUGGGCACAUGUCCUAUUCAUUCUUAGAAUCGGCACACAAGAGAAGGCUUAGAAAGAUUAUGAAUCAGCAUCUAAUCGUUCAAUCAUGUCAAGCAUUGCCUCUAUCUGGAUCAACACCAACCUAAACCAUAGAAUCAUAUAAUGUAGUAUCCCAAAUGCAAAUAAGGGAAUAGAGAAGAAUGACAAUUUUCCCCGAAAAUUUGCAUUACAAUCUUGGGAUGCACUUCUAGGUGGUCCUUUAGGCAUCUGCUUUUCUCUUCUAUUCUGUCACUGCUCUUUUGCAAGGAAUUUUGGAAAGGAAAAGAUGGCAAGUUGGCCAAGGGGAUUUCUGAAAGGUGCUUCAAGGGUUGGAGUGCAGAGCAUAUUAUUGUCCAUUCAAAGAACUAAGAUUCUGGCCUUCAAUUUGUUUCGAUGGCUAGUCUUCUUUGAAUUUUCACUUCUUUCUCUUGUCAAACUCCUCAUCUGCCUCUGCACCUGCUGUAUCUGCACUUGCAUUUUUUUUUUGUUAAAAAUUUUGGCCUUUUUUAACAGCCUAAAAUUACAAUGCAAUGUUUGGAUUGUGAAACUUGCAGCGCUGCGGGAGGACCACCUACCGUAGGUGGUAUGCCAACCAAUCCAAUCACUAGUCCAUCUUUGACCGCACCACCACCACCGGAUACACCCUUAAACAACGGUGGAGGCUUGACCAGGGCUGGGUGGUGGAGUUCCUGCAACACAGAAUUCUAAAGCUACUUCUCUACCAUCCUCUACCGCGACUACCUUAACUCUUUCAUCUUUCUUGCUUGUACUCUUUCUCAUUUCUGAACCCUAAUAUUGCCCUGAGAGAGAACAGCAACAGGGCCUUAAGUGAUUGUGAAGACUAGGUUAGUGAAGUUUUGUUAGGUAUGAGGCUCCUUGUCUCAGCCGCUCAGCAGUUUUGUAGCAAAAAAAUAUUUAAGGCUUUUGAUGUAAUGUUCUCUUUUGGCUGCUUAAUUCUCUUCAUGCCUUGAUCCCAAUUGGAGAAGUUUAAUUCAUGCAUUCUUAGUUGGACUACAUUUCAACUACUGGAGUUCUCACUACGCAUUCUGCGAUUUCUAGUUCCACCUUCUUUUUCCUGAAUUCUCCAUCCUCUUAAACCAACUUGCGAAAAAUCCACUGAAGUUCUUGGAAAAUGUUGGUGAUCACCAAAACGAAAAAGAGCAAGGCUUGUGAGUGUUUUCUAUGUUUGAUAUUUGCAGAGCGACGUAUCGAAAUCGUCGGCAGAUAACGAUGAAAACAAUAAAAACUUAUAAUUUCAAAUUCAAAUUUGCACACGUGUUAUAUAUUUAAUGAUGAUAGUGUAUACACUGACAGUGUAUAUAAAUUAACCCAACUUAUAAACUGGUGCUCUUGAAAGAGACUAUAUUGAGGGUCAAAAUUCAUCUUCAAGAGUGCAUUACGACUAGAAUAGGAAUUUCAUAUUCUCGUAGUCAAGUGAGACUUCAAUACUUUGAUUUGCCUGUUUACAGCUCUUGCUUCACCCGUAACUCCCAUAAACACACAUUUUCUCUGAAGUACGUAGCAAGAAAACCAGAAGAGGACCUUCUUCAACAUUUAAUUGUAACAUGGAUAACUCUGUAAAUUUCUUUUAAUCUUCCUAUCAUCCUAUAUAGUAAUAGUAUGAAAGCCGUCUUCAAAAUACUGAAGCGCAAAGAUUGGAAUUAACAUGCUCCAAGUUUUGAGUUCAUCUGGCAUUGAAUUCAAAAUCUAGAAUUCAACUGAAGAAGAGACCUGAGCGCAAACGAGAAAGCAAGAAAUGUAGUCAUCAGAAAAUAUAAAGAUAAGAUGGAAACGAAAAUCAGAAUCUGCAAACUGCUUAUAUUUGCUUCAACUAAACAAAUAGUCAUGUCUGUAGCUUAUAGGUUAGUUGAAGUAAGGUCAAAUCAAGGUUCUCUUUAUUUGAACUAAGUGUGCAACUAACCUGCUGAUGUUUGGUAAUCAAUAUAGAAAAAAUACUGCUUCUUCAUGCACUAUAUUGUGUUUCCCCACCCAAAUAUCCCCCUUUGUCUUGACAUAUUAAAGUCUAGGCCUUAAUUUACCAUUCGACUCCCCAUUCAAUCAGUUAAGAUGUCUAAUCAGUUACGUGUAAGAACUAUAUUUCAAUUAAUGUUCCAGAAAUAGCAUUCCAGUUAGUGUGGUACACUCCCUCCUCUCCAAAGCUUAAUUACCUUUGGUUCAACUGGGCAUCUCUCGGGUUGUCUCACAAUGUAUAUUUGAUCACGCAGCUUCAUUGUACAUAUCCUGAUUCCGGUGCCAUGUCCACAGAGCAUGUGUCUCAUUCUUCACCUGCAGAUUACAUGAAGAAAUAUAGUCAUCUUUUGCCUUCUCCAGAGUUGUGUCCUAUGGUCUAUCCUCAACAGGAGAUACGAAGUUAAUUGUAAGAAUAUUAAAGCACCAAAAAGCAGGAUAUUUUUUCAUUUCAGUGUUUGGAAAAGCACCCAACUACACGAGACUCUAAUGUUCAGAGUUGGAAGUCUUGGUAUCCCAACCAAAAAUUCCCUCAAUGAACCAAAAGGUACAAAUUUCAUCUUGAAUAUAAAUAAACUGCUAAAACUUAGAAGAAAGAAUCCUAUUUCAGUUAAAGACAAAGAUCCCAUUCCCUAGAGUAAGGCAUCCAAACACCAUACUAACUGAACAAGUUUUGCCUCCAACUCUCCAGAUAAUAUUUAACUAUAGUUCUGCAAAGCAUAUUCUAGUGUACAAUUCACUGCUCAGGUUAGUUUUCAUAACUGCUCUAGUUGGUGCAUUUUGAAGCUAAUUAUUAGUCAGUAAGUUGUAAUGCUUUCUUUGGACUAGCAUCCAAGGGGGAGGGAGGGAGAGAGAGAGAGAGAGAGUUGUACCUCUAGAAUACCAUGUCCAAAGCUACUUUCCCUGUAUGCACUAUAAUCUGGCUGUCGAUCCCAACAGAACUUUCCAGCUGCUGGACCUGAUGUAAAAUUGUAAGCACAAAAUCCACCCAUAUAGCUGUCCGGAGUUGUAGAUGGAUCUGGACAGUUCCCUGGUUCAUCGCAUGUUUAAUAGCCAUUUUCUCCCUGUUACCACCAUCACCAACUGCUAUGUAUACAGGCCCACAGGGAUCCAGAGUGUAGUUGUAGACUCUGUUUGAUCUCUCAUAGGCAUGAACCUAUAGUUUAAACAAGUUCCAAAAAAAGAAAACAAAGCCUCAUUGAGAUCUCUAAAGCAAGAAAAGGAUUUUGUUUUACAGAUUGCAGAAAAUGAAAUUACAUUAACAUAGUACUGAUUUUUUUUUUGUCACGAAUCAAUGAAGUUUGAAUAAUUAUGUUGGAAAAAAGCUUAAUGUAAUUAUAGCUCAAAGUAGUCAAUGAAAAGAAUUACCAAACUUUGUACGUUAAGCCUAAACAAUAUAUGCUUGUGAACACAGCAGCAAUGGUGGAGGACAGGAUACUGCUGUUUCUGUGGCUAUGAGAUUGCACAAAGGUCUAACCAGGUUAAUAAAAUAGAGAACAGGAACUGCUCAACGAUUUGAAGUAAUGUGGAUUGAAGAAGAAUCAUUAGAAAAUUGAUAAAGAUGAUUUUCUUAUGCUAGAACGAAUGACCAGAAUAUGGAUGGAGCAAAUGAACCAGUAGGAUUUACUACAAGGCUUGUCACCAGCAAAAGUAUACAGCAUGUGAUAAUUAAAUUUGUUUCAGUAAGAUUUCAGACGAUUAUUUCCACAUUUACUAAUUUUUAUUACAAAAACUAUAAAGAAAUACAAGAUAAAGCUGAAGAAUAGCUUUAUUGCAUUUACAGUAUAAGCACUCACGUGACUGUUACACACUUACAUGUCCAUUGAAGACUAUAUCAACACCAUACUUGUACAGUAUUUCUUCCAUCUCUACCCUCAUACAUUCACUUCCCUGUAGUGAGCUACAUAUGUUGAGUACCAUGGAGGAUGCCAAGUUGCUACCAGCCAAGGAGUGACUUUUCUGUCAACUUUUGCAAGUCUCUCUUCAACCAUUUGUAUUGAUCAGCUGAAAUUCAGUAGUUAAAGAUGAGCUAUAAAACUACUUCACAUUCUUUUGGACAUAAAACUAGACAAAAAAAUCCAGUUAAUUGCUGAUGAAAAAGUGACAACAUGUCAUAGAUACAGAUAUGCAUAAUCUGACAAAUUUCAUGAGGCAAUCAAAGAGUAGCAAAAAAAGGCCCAAGCAAGCAGAUAGACGUGAAUGCAUCUCAUCAAUUACCUGACUUAUUAUAUGCAAUAUAUGCACCGAGCAUUAUGAAAUGUAUCCCUCCCGCAUUGAAUGAAAAGUAGAACGUAGACAAAGAUCCACUUUCUUUAGAUGGAAAUGCAAACCGAGAACUAUAGGCUGCAAAUGUCCGAUUCCCAACUUGUUCUUCGAUCUCAUGGUUUCCCUCUACUACCAUUAGUGGUACUUUAGACACUAGUGGCUGCAUAAACCUGCAAAAAUAUAAUAUUCUAUUACGUUUGUUCUAAUGCACAAUUAUGGAAGAAAUCUCUUGCACAGACGGUAAAAGAGUGAAGUAAAACUGAAACAAUUUCUAUUGUUCAAUGUAGAAGUCUGCAAGAAGCUAAUGAAUGUUAGGGAAGAAAGGGAAGGAAUAGUCUAGGUCUAAAAAAGACUCACAAAAAUUACAGACUAAAGAUGGAUUGAGUGAUAAAUAAACUGGUGAUGUGCACGAUAACCAUUAAGAGUUCUAGCAACUGCAAGUAAUGCUGUAAACCAGAAGUUAAUUUUGAGAGAAAUCAGCCUUCUUUAUGAUAGAAAUAGACAUUCUUACUCAACAAACUAGGUGUACGAGUCUUCUGGUCUCUUUUAGUAGCACCAGUUGCACUGACAGCAAAAGAAGAGCAGAUAAUUCUACUCAUGGAUAGCUAGUUCACUAUUUUACUCAUGCUGGAAGUUUCUGUUGCUUGCCUCAUUAUUACAUGAACAAUAAGUACAAUGGACGAAAGUAUUAAAGCUACCUUCCCCAGUAAUCCCAACGAGGUUGAUAGGUCUCAUGGAUGGGUGUAUCAGGAAACGAGCAAGAAUAGCAAUCAGCGCCAGUUCCAUUUGUCAGAUACAGAUUGGCGUAGGAAACAUCCCCCACCAAUAGAACAAGAUCAGGCUGGUUGCUUAUCAAGUGGCUAACAGUUGAAGUUGUAUUGUAUGUAAGACCAAGGUCUCCCACCACUGCUAUUCUGUUAGGGUAGUUUUUUGGACCUGAAGCAGGCAUAGUCCUGAAUUGAUAGAUAUCACUCAUUGCUGGUAUUGAAGGAUCUCCACAUCGAUAAUAAUAUUCAGUGUUGGGUUCCAAUCCUGCAGGGCACAAAACCAAUCCCAUCAUUUGAGAAAAAAAAAACGUUUUCACCAAGACAGAAGCAAAAUUGAUCUCCUUUAUUCUACUUAAAGAAAGCAUGGAAUUAGUAGCAAUAGCAACAAGUACAUACAAUGUGAAUUUAAAAUAGAUUCUAGUAAAUGUAGGACCAUUUAAUGUUUACUGAAAGUAAGAUUAGGUUGGUUUUAUUGGACCCAUGCAUCCAUUUAGAAAAACUAGAUGUUGCAGUUGGCUUGAUUCAAUUUAAUUGAAACCAAGUGGAAGGUGUCUCGGAAUCAUUGUUGAGAAAAGAAACUUAACAACAAUGUACUACGCACAUUUGCAAGCUGCAAAACUAUCAAAUGAGACUUGCCUAACAUCACCAGGCUGUAUUUCCGGACAAAGAAUACAAUGGCAGGUUGCCGUUGAAAUCCAGUAAGUCAAGAGAAACACAAGAGAUCAAAAACUUAAAACCACUCAAUUUAACACAACCAAGAUAUGUGAAAACAUUGUUCUAAAAUCAUGCCAGGGCAUUAAACCAAUCAAUAUCCUAUUAGAGGGCACCUUGCAUAUAUUUUACUCAGACAUCACAUAAACCCUGACUUUAUUUCAUGGGUGUUUGGCAGGCAGAUAGUCUGAGAACCAGCUACAGAACCUUAUUUAGCUUCUUCCAGCAAUAUUACAUUUUGACCUUGAGAUGUGGCUGACAAUCAUGUGACAGGACUCAGAAUCCAAUCAUAAAGCUUGGACGGUUCCUUUCUUAUGUAUCCAACUAAAAAUUAUAAAAUUCUAUGUUUGAAAUAAGCAUUACAUCUGAAAUGAUCUGUUGCUCCCAAAUUUGUGACUUAAAAUUUUGUUAAUUCACCUGUAAGUUGGACAUGAUGUAUGAUCCCGGAGGUGUAGUUCUGCAAGCCUUCAAAUGGAUAGAGCUGGUUAUAAAUUAAUGAAUCACCCUUUACUUUGUGAUUCAAGAAGAGAUUUGAUUUCCCAUAGUAUACAAAACUUUUUAGAGUCUUGGGAUUCAAUGGUUUGAUGUUGUCACCUAUUUGAAAUUCACCUGCAAACAAAUAAUAUCACAUUUGAGAGGAUCAUACUGAUAUAACAAACAUCUAUAACACCCUCUUCUGAUUCAUCUAACAAAAAUCAGGCUCAUCCUUACGUAUCCUAACUAUUAACAUGCGUUCUUCUCCUGUAGCUCUCAAAAAUGAACAUCAAUUCAUAAUCCAAUUGAAGUUCUCACUGAUACCUACGUCACAACUAAUUCGAACUUUUCAAGAAGACAUAGAAAGCAUCAACUUAUAAAAGGGCAGUCAAUAAACUUCCAUAACUCCCUUCUUGUUCUUAUCUAGAAUAUUUUUUUCCAGCUCAUCAAUUGCUAAAUACUCCUCCAAACAGACAAAUUAAAUGACUUCAAAAUACUAGAUUGAGACAGAACCAAGAACAUACAUAUAUCAAAUGAAGUUACCUGUAAUCCAUGAAACCCAAGCUGAAUCAUAAUCUGAAGAAAGGGAGACUGAAAUUUGUUCAGGCUCAAAACCUACAACAUUUCUCUGCACCCUAUGAUCAGUAUCUGGCAAAUCAAUUGCAUUCCCUCUAAAACUCUUAUCCAAAUCAACUGUCACUGGCUUAAAUUCCUUCUACAGUUGUCGGAAUUCUCCCAUAAACUUGCACAAGGUUCAGCAAAAGAAACACAGCCAACCCAACAAGAGCUCUCCCUUUUAGCAAAGCCAUCUCAAGACUUUGCAUGCAACAGUUAAUCCCUCCUUAUCAAGAACUUAUGCAUAGAAAAUUUGAUCAAACAGCUGAGGAACAGAGACAAAAAAGAAUAGGCGUGACAAAAAAAAAUCAAGAGUUGAGAAGAGUAGAGCCUCCUAAAAGACAAAAGAAGGUAGAAAAUCAAUCAAAAAGAUAUGAAACCAAGAAAAAGUGAGGAAAAAAGGGGUGUCACAAAUGAAAAGGUCGAGUCUUGAGAAGAAAAGAACCUCCUAAACGCUAAAAACAGGCAUCAACGAAGUUGCUAAACGUUAAAAAUUCUGAACCAAGUUUAAAUUACAAGUACAUUUACCAAAUGGGUUCAAUCUAGAAUUGUAAAACACGCAUGAAAAUAUGAGAAAUUUUAAAACUUUUCGAAAAAAGUAAACAAAACGAACUGCUUUAUUACGAAGAUGGCGUGAGAAUUUGAGGGAUGGAAACGAGAUUUGUGCAAUUUGGCAAAUGGCGGUUAUGUCAGCUAAUCUGUGUUCGAGAAAAAUACAGGAGAGAUGGAAAUCCUCGUUCAGUGUGAAUAGCAGUUCCUGGUGAAGGCGCUUCCUUUGGUGACUGAUUUUCGUAUGGGCCAUGUUUUGUGAAUGUGAAUUCGUUCUUAGUGUGCCCAACUUGUACUACUCUUGCAAUGACGAAUCUCUUAUCUGAAAUGGGAUAUUCUGUCCGAAUUCGAUGUAGAUUUGUUUUUGUAGUAAACAAAUCAACAGACAGAUCCGAAGAGCGUGGCUCCUCGUUGAGAGAGACCUCACCUGUUAAUUUUGUCCCAAAAGAAAAUUAAUGUGUUAAUUUUGUACAAAAAAAAAUAGUUUAAUAAAUAUCGAUGACAUAUAUAUAUCUUUGUGCAAGGCACAAUCAAGGCUUCUAGUAGUUUAGUUGAAUACAUUGUAACAAAACUUUUUAGUACAUAAUGAACAAAAACAUAGGAGAAAAGUUAAAUAUCAAAAUGAUUAAAGUCUGCUAUUAAGAGAAAUUUCAUCUAUGAAAUUAGUCCUCAAUUUACUGUGAUUUGGACAAAAAAUUUUUAACCAAUAUUAUGUGUACAUAAUGAUACCAAACAGAAGAGAAAGCAAAUUCAUUAUGAGUGCAUUAUCGAUUUAACAGUAGUAUAGUUUUAGUUGUAACUAAACAAAAAUAGUCAUAAUGUUUCUAACGUUUUAAUAAUUAGAAAAAACUUAGAAAGCCACCGAGACUUGUUACAGUUUUCAACAUAAAUAAAACAUACAAAUUUGCAUAUUUUUCUUUCUUUGAGAGAAAAAACUAGUUAAUCAGUCCAUUUAAAUCCUACAUAGUAGCAUUACAAACAGGUGAGAACAUGAGUCUGUUUGGAUACCCCAAAUUUACAUAAUUUUCCUUGAAAAAUUGAGUUCCAUAAUGUGGUUUUUGGAACAUAUAUCCCUCAUUGAUCUAUAUGAAAAGACUUGCAAUUAUGAUAGUUCUGUUGACUUGACUGAAAGCUGGAUAGACUGGGAGUAUGGUCAUAAAGGUACGGGAGCGCGACCUACCUAAAUUUCAGCCGCCACCCAUCUUUGGUCAAACGAAUGGUUACUGCCCUGGAUUUGCAGCUGUUCUCCUCAAACAAAUUUUCGGACUUCUUGACAAGACCCAGAACAUUCUACAUUGCAAAUGAGUUUUUAAUUAAAAAGUUUUAGCGUGAUUUGGGUAGUACCUAGGUUUUUGUGGCCCCAAAAUUGAGGUUUGUAGCCAUAAACAUAAACUGAUUACAAGAGGUUACAGACAUGCACGAUCACAGACAAAGUACAACCAUGCAUUGAUGGACUUGCCGAAAUUAAAUAUGCAUAAUAUUUAUGACAUUUGCCAAGAUUAACAUAAAUAGGCAAUUUUGUCGAGCGGCUUUGCCUUUCCUCUAGCAUUGCCCGAAUGUCCAUGGACAUUUUUUAUGAUUCUUCAUUAACGAUGGCGUAUAUUUCCAUAGGCAUUGAACAUAUGAACUGUCGUUGCAUCUCUCAUGCCAAUCCAUUGGUCAAUCAUUUCGGCCGGGGAGGAAGGAGAGGGAUGCAGCGGCUGUAUCUCCAGAUAGGAAAAAAUUGCACCGUGAAUAUCUGGAUCUCCUAUAUCAAGGUUUGCAAAGUAAAGGUCAUUCGGCUACUAAUCUCUAAUGAAAUUGUGCACAGCACAACAGGCAACAGGCAACAAUUAUGUUUAUCUGAGUAAUUAUCAUGUAAUUUGGCACGGCGCCCCAUAAGAUAGCAAAUCUCCUCUUAAGGACACAAAAGGUUCGCUUUAUGACAUUGCAUAAAGCAGAAUGGCUGUAAUUAAAAAGUUCUUUGGCAGUGGCAAAUUUCCCCCUUCUCUGACCACUUACAUCCGCUUGACGUCCUCUAUAAGGUGGUAAGAAAGCGGGCAAGUUUUGAUACACGGAAUCAACCAAGUAGUAUUUGUCUUAUCAUAAAUGUGUUUUUUGGGCCCAACUAGUUUUGUGAAAAUUAAUGCUAAAUAUACAUACAUGGAUUUUCUUGUAUAUCUGGGGGCAUUGGGAAAUGAUUUGGACCUGUCAGAGCCCCAUCCAAAACACGAGCAUCAUGGGCACUUCUCUUCCAACCUGCAUACAUGUAUACAAAUCUCAUAGUAUGAUUGUAUACAACCAACACAUUUUGUGACUACACUCUGUGUCUAUUAGUGUAUGCCACCUGCUGUCUACUCGAGAUAGAAAUAGGUAUGUGUGUCCCGUCAAUGGCUCCAAUUGUGUCCUUUAAAUAGCAAUUGAAGUCAUUGCGAAAUUAAGGGAGUGCUUGGUUUGAGGGUAUAGGAUUCAAGAUUUGGAAUGAUGUCCAUUUUAAGUGCUUGGAUAAGAGGUGUGGGAUUGAGGAUUUUGGAAUGAAUUCUAAAAGUCAACAACUCUCCAUUCCUGAGUAAUGUGGUGGGUUUUGUUAAUUCCUAUAUUUGAUUCCAAAAUAAUUUUAUAAAACAUUUUUUUAUCUAUUCACUCCUUCACCCUCAUCUCGUCAUCCUCCUACUAGUCUUCCCCAUCACCUCCCACCAUUUGUCUCUUCCUCCAUGGCAUCUAAAAAGUUUUCUUGUUGCCAUCACUCAAUAUUUCAAAAACUUCCACCUUUCCUCUCGCUAGUAUCACUCCUUCUUCAUCCUCAAAAUCCAAAUCCUAGAUCUCUAAAAUUUCACCCAUCACAACAAGCCCCUGCAUAGCCUCACCUCUGAGUUUGAAUCAGUACCAGAAUUUACAGCCACAAUCUCAAGGGAUUCAGCUUCAAUUGAGAAGAAACCACGUAAUUUGAGUCUGGUGUCACCCACUCAAAGUUCAAAAAAAUCUAUUUGCAAGCCAUUGACAAGUUCUGAAUUUGGAUUGUAUCAAUUGACAAGAAAAAAGAAAACGUGGCAUUGCUUCAUCAUAUGAGUUAUGUCUGAAAGUAGGAGAGAAAAGAACAAAAAAAUGAAAAAAAAAUAGAAGGUCUUGAUUGGGGAUGGUCUAACGAUGACUGGCGUUUGCUGCUAAAGGCCUCGUAUGAUUGAACCCAACAAAGAAAAAGAUAGGGCAAAAAUGCAAUAAUAAUUUUGAUACCCAUUCCACUAAAAAUUAUACCAAGUGGUAAUGAUUUCAAUGAUACCAGGAGCUUAUACCUAUACUAAUUUUUUAUAAUUCAUUCCGUAUCCAAUUCCAAUUACAGAGCAUGAACCAAACACCCCCUAAAUGUAUUCAACCAAUCACUUAUAAAAUUAACAUAACAAGCUCCACCAUACUUCCCAUAAAAAAUUUAAAAUUAAACAAGUUCCUGACUAACCCUUUCAGAUAUCAGCAUGAAUGAAAAAAAAAAAGAGGACUACUCGUGGUUUAGCUAGAAAAGUGCAAUAUAGAUCAAAUAAUAUUAAUGCUUUGAUGAUCGUUUGACAUCAUGGAGCUAGUUCAAAUUUUUAUUUUGUGUUCUAAGCCAUUUUAGUUUUUUUUCAUCUUACUAUGGUGAGUUUUCCACAUUUAGUUUGUAAAAUAAAAAAAAAGGAUAUACAAUAUUAAGAUUAUAUAUAUCCAGUAUGAAUCGAAGCAUUUGUAGGACAAAUCCCAUGUAUUACUCAUCCAAGAAAGGUUUAAUCCAUACUUGUCAAAGUAGACUUUCAAUUUGUGUUGAAUCUUGAAGGGCAAAUCUUUGGCCAAAACUUGAGUAUUAUUUCAAAUUACUUUUGUACAUUUAAUUUUUAUGUUUAAAAUUCGUAUGGCCUACCAAUUCCAGAAUUUAAUUUUCAAAAGCAAUUGAAAUGUUUUAAACUAUUACGUCAAUUAUUACGAACAAUAUGCAUGCUACCAUUAUUGUAUGCAUGGACUAGUAAUACUUGCUUCGUUCUUUACCACAUUCCAGUGGUGCCAUUACUGUAUUUAUCAUUUCGUCUGUUAGAUUUCUUUUAUUGAAAGCAAUCCCAGUGCUCCCCAUACAAUAACAAAAAUAUAUAUAAGAUUCUUUGAGACCCAAACGUUCAAACUUAAUCAGUGUAUUAGCUAACCAUACUUCAAACCAUGGAUAAAAUGUACUGUCAUUUAGAAUUUUUGGAUGGACUUCAUCCUAGCGUCUUGUAGUGAUGAUGAAUUAAGCGAAUGUACAUAGACUCCUAAUGACUUCCUGAAUAUUCUGAUGCACUAUCUCCAACGAGUGGUUGAAUCGAUCCGCAAUUAUUAGCAUCCGCAUAUUGUAGCUCAUUAUAACUAAAGUCAUCGCAAGUGCCUCCUCUAUCGUAACCCUUUUCUAAUGAUACUGGGGGGACAAAUUCACAUUCGAACAAUAUGUUGCACAAUCUCAUAAAUGAAUCUACACUUAAUCUUGUUGCAUCCAUAAUUCGGGUGUGGUUACCUGAUAUCAGUUCUUCAACCCAUUGUCGGCCAAUUAAUGCUAAUGUCCUACAAGGUACCUUGUGGAUUGGGUCUCUGUAUGCUUCUGCAUUUGACUCGAACAAUAGGGCAGCACCAACUAUAAAUAGAAGAUCAUCUUUGUCCGAGGAUGAGCUGGUCAUAUGGCCAUCACGAAAUGCGUUCAUUUUUUGGUAUGGCAAAAAAAAAAAAAAAAACUACCACAUAUAUACGUUUGGUUCCUAAAGUGGUUGAGGGAUAGAGCAAUCAGUUCACCAAGCGAUCAAUCCUUAUAAAGGCAAAAAUCUGUGAUUCUUCUUAUUGUUUCAGCGAGUAGUGCAAUUCUUGUCAAUUCAUCUGUGUCAGUACUAGCGAAUAUAUGCAGUCUCCACGGUGCCUUGUCUGCCAUUGCACCACUUAGUAAUUGGUAUCGAAGAGAUAAGACUCCUACCAAGGUUGCGCGAUAGUCCAGCCAGCAUGGGAACAUCGUUCAGUCUGUGCAUACAAAAAUCUACACAAACCAGUUUUAAAUAAAAUAAAAAGCAAACAUCUACCAUCUAUCAAACCAACUUACUUCAAUAUGCAAUUAUGCACAAAAGUCCAAAACAUCAAUCGGCACUAGGGAUAUAUGUAUUGGUUAGUAACCUGUUCAUGGAACAUGAAUUGAAGUCAUAAAUUUGGUUAAUAACUAAAUUUGGGCCCUCCAGACAUCAGUUCAUUUGGAUGUCCCUAAUUGCUAUGAGAGUACGCAUUUCCAUAAGGCUGCAUUUCCAUUCAUGGGAAGGUGGUCAUUUUGUCCUCACUUCGAUCUUUAAAAGGGUUCCAAGACUUAUACAUAUACAACCUUGAUUUUUUAAAGGUUUCUAUACCCUGUCGGCCAUCUUACAUCACCUUAUACAUAUACAAUCUGCCAUCCAAAACUUUUGUAAUCCAUAUAGACUUCUAAACUUUGCAUAGUGCAAUUCAUUUAAUAUAUGCAGACGUGCAUAAAAGUCUAAAGCUAGUAAUCCAAAAAACUUAGCCUAGUACUUGGCAUAGUAAUGCUCAAUAAACAUAAGAAAAAUCUUAUACAAGCAAGUCAUGGUUAAGAAUUGGUCCUCUGGUUUUGACUCAAUACAUAAAAUAAGGGAAGAGGAAUCAGCAGGCAAGCAAGUACUUUGAUCAAAUUUAAAUUGACCAAACAAAGUUUCCCCAUUUGGAAGAAACUAAAAUACAAGUAGCACACCACACCACAAAAAAAAAAAAGAUUAGAAAAGCUGGAAGAUUUUUUAAUCCUGGUAGCUCAACGAAAAUUCUUUUCAUGCUGAUGCACAGGCAUCCACACACGACACUACUCUUCCCCUGAGCCCUUUUGAAGGGCAAUGUCUAGAGAGUUAAGCCAAUACUCCUGAAGAUUGCGUGCCAUAGCCAGGAAAGUCUUAUGCCACUUGUCGUCCUGCAAUUGUAAAAGAGUAGUGAGCUUCCUCCCUUUGUGAAAGCCUUCAAACGAGUUGACAACCUAAUCUGCCAUUGUAACAUCGAAUUUCUCAAAAUCGAUUUCUUGGCGAUCCUUAAUCAAUAGUUUUGCUGAGGGUAGGUUGAAGAAUGAGUUAGCACACUCAACGAAAGGAUUAUCAAAACUUCUACUUAACUUGCUUCGACGAGAUCCGUGUACCGAGAUCGUGGCCCCUAGACUGCUUAAAACUCGCUUACUUCCUACUUUAGGAGCUUCUUCAUAGCAUUCAGCAUCAGGGCUAUCAGUGAACAUUUCCUCACUGAAUUGCAAACUUGACUGCCCUCCUAAAUGAGUAGGUCGAUUUUGUCGAGCAACAAGUAAAGGCGGAACUGCAGAAGAAACAGCUUGGCUCCCAGUGGCAGUUUUUCCUUCCAAAACCUUAGAUAGUAUUGAAUAUUUGUUGAUGCACUGGUGGUAUCUAAAGUUCCUAUAAUCCCGAUUCUCCUAUUAAAAAGAAACUAACAAAAUUGAGUCUUAUAAUCUCAUUUAUUAAACCCAAUAAAAAUGAGCCAAAAGUAUAUAGUAUUAUUGUAGGAAGUGAACCAUGGGAGCCAAAUACCAGGUUUUAAACAAGUAGAAAGUCAACUAACAAUUAAUAUUAAGCAUAGUAGUGUAUUAAGUGUCAACAGUAAAGAAUCAAAAAAAGUUCCAUUCUCAAUAAGAAAAAUGUUGUAAGGGUUUUUACCAUUUGCAAAUUGUUUCACUAAGAUUCAUUGGCCAAGAAGCAUCUCCUAUUCUAGUCCCAAUCAAUUCAAGUUUCGGACGAGAGUCACAAACUUUUUAACUUGACAAAGGCACGCCAAAUCCUCUUCAAGCACUUGUACUUCGAAUGGUAGAUAGUGCAGCUAUACUACUUUCCCCAGGUGGAAUUGAGGUGUGCAGCAAGCUUCAUCCAAUUGGCCUUAGAUGCGAUGUUUGGAUUCCACUCCACACUUUUUUUUUCUAUUCAACGUAUGUCAUACCAGAAGUGCAUCUCCAUGUUUUCAUUUCAACGAGCCUUUGCAAUUGUGUGGUCAUGAGGCAUCCAGACCAAACUAAAGGAAUUGCAUAUCUUCUUAAAAUUGCUUAACAAAUUGAACAAUCCAAGAAUUUCAACAUAGCUCGGACUUCGAUUACAUGGUACUUUUCCAACCACAGCGUCAAUGGAGUUGUAUAGUCAAGCAGCUUUUAUAUAUCAAAUUUAAGGAUUGUUAUUCCAAGUUAUUAUAAAAUUUUGAUCAUCUAAAUGCAAUCUUUACCUUAACAAAACAGGCACAUACAUGCAUAUACAUCUACUUACUGAGUUUUUUCAAAUUUACAUGUAAUCAAAAUGACAAUUUUGAUGCUAAAGUUAGAUGACUAACCUUACAAAUUUGCUACAGCAGUUAUCGAGGCACUAGAGCACAUUUAAAUCGCUCUUUAGGUUUGUGUUUUUAAUUCUUGUAAAUUCUUUAAAAAAUACUUGUCCUUUUAUAAUAAAAAAGAUGUAUAAUCUUUAGAUUUGUUCUAAGCCAUUUUAAUACACCACACCAAGUCUAGCUCUACAAGACUAUGAAAUGUGAAUAAAAGAAUAUACUCCAUCACUUAUAAGCUUGAGACCCUAUGUGCUACUUCUCUUGCAGUUAUCUUGAAGUAUAUUGGCGGUAAGAAGGUUCUUAGUCAGGACAGAGCAAGCUUUAGUGAUCAUAAAGUUGAAGACAUCAUAAAUAUCUUAACUAUCGCUCUACGAAUAUGUUUUUGGUACUGUACUAAAAACUUUUUUUUUCUUUUCGAUACACGUAGCCAUACAAAGUAAAUAAACUACCAAGUAAUAAUUUGAAGUCUCAUAGUUGAAAUCUCGGUAGCAAAUGGCAAAUACCACGCCACAAAUUGAUUGUGGAUGUAACAGUUGAAGUUCCAAAAAGUUCAACACAUAUUGAACAGCACAAAUGACUCAGGAUUAGCUAUGUUCAAGUAAUAGAGUAAAGGAUGAGUUCACAUGGAUGUUUGAAAAUAUUUAUAGGCCUAAAUUUGAAGAGACCACCAUGAAAAUGCGACAUCAACACACGUUAAUGCACUUUUUAUUAGUCACGGGGACUUACUCUGAAGUAGUUAACUAGGGAUUCGAUGUAGUCGUUAAAUUCUGUGACAGAGUGGAUGGAAGAAGCCUCAGAUGCACGAGUGAGAGUUGGUGGAUCGGACAGUGAUCUCCUAUGCUUGUUGGGCAUAUACUCCAUGUCAAGGUGUGUUAAGAGGAUGCAGGUCAUGUGGGGCUACACUCAAGACAAAUAGAGCCAAUUUUGAUUCGCGAGUAAGCUUUGGUCAGUUUGCAUUCUUUGUUACCGAAUGGGGAGGGGGAUAGAAAUCUCGAGGAACUUGACUAUGCUACUACUCUGAGUUAAAAUAAAAAUUAUACCAAAAAUCAAAAAUUCCUUUGAUAACGCCUAAAUUGCCCAACUCAAAACAAAAUGGGCGGGCAGCAAAAAAGCAACUAAGCAACUCAUCCAAUUUGAUGAAUUAGGGCUAACGCAUACCUCGUAAGGGUGUGCUGAUGCCACAUUUUAGAAAGAGAGACAACGAACCUCGUUCUCAAUUGGGGAACCUUAUUUCAGAAAGCAAUUCAAUUUGGCCUUUAGCAAGUAGGAAUGAUGGGCUAUCACAUGAACGAUAAUCAGACAGACACUGAGUUUGGUAGUCGCGUCAAAUGAAACCUAGAUGGAGAAUUGAGGUGUGCAAUCUUCGGCUUUUGAGGCUAUGGUUUGAUAGCUGCUUGUUUGGAUAAUCGGCACCGUAUUUCUCGUCGAAAGAGGGCUGCUCGAAGGGAUUAAAAUUGCAGUGGUGGUUGGACAAGUUGGCGGCACAAGCUACGAAAGAACUGUGAGCGUUCACUAGCCGUUGGACUUUUCACCUUUUCUUUAGUGCUUUUGAUAACAAUGGAUAAAUUUUGAGAAAAAGUUUCAUGUGUUUGGCAAGUUAUGCAGUUGAUUGGAAAUUAGACAAACGAACUGACCAGUCAUGUGAACCCUUACUCCAAUAAAGUUUUGGCAGAGCUGGUGGGUACCUUAAAAGCCAAAUGCUUCUCAACCAAGUGUAAGAAAACUGACAUGUCCAAACAAAGUUUUGAAAACUUAUUUUUUGGAGUAGAUUAGGCAAAUCAAAUCAUGUAAUCCAAACAUAUUCAUUGUCUCACCAAACAGCUCUAGAAUACAAAUAGCAAUUUUUGAUAAAAAAAAAAUAACUGUCAUGCUUCCAAAUCUACAUAUACAAAUUCGGAACCAACAAUUUGUUUUGCAAAAAUGUCUGCUUAAUCAAAAUUAAAUUUUCUAAUAAUAUUUUGUUGAAUGACACUCUAAGUUGAAAGUCUGAAUUCUAACUUCCACCACCAACUAUAAUCCUUUGACAACUGCAAUCAUUUCAACUAACUAAAUUGAUAAAUUAUUACCAAAUCCUUUAACCAAAUAGUAAUGAUAUGUCUAGUUCCACGCCUAGCAAUCAUCUCAAACUCUAAUUACAUUAUCUAUUAUUUGGGACAAUAAAAAAGGAUAAAAAUAUAAAGUCAGAUAGAACCAGUUUAAAAAAAAGAUUCUGAAAUCUAAUUUUACAUUUCUUUUAUUCUCAGCUAUUAUUUGCUAAAAUUAAAAACCAUGAAAAUAAACUAUUUAUCAUGGAUACAAGAUAGUAAUUCAAAAUGAAGAGAUAUGAAAUAUUUUCUUCACAUCCUAAAUUGCUGACCCCAACAAUUAUUUUACACAUCAUUCAUCUUAUCCAGAAAUAUGCAUUUUUCACUAUUAAGAAACUUUAUACUAAUCAAAAUAUCAAAAUAUAAUUAUCUAUCCAUAAAUUAAGAGACUUUGAUUAAUUUUUAAUUCUACGAGCCUCACUAUUUCCUUGCAAAUCAUCGUUUACCUUAGACAUUUAUUUGCCAAAUUCUUGCUCUGCCAUUCUAAUGCUAUCACCCUAUAAUCAAAUAAUAAUUUUAAUAAAUAAAAUAUUAAAAUUGGAAUGAAUAUGUACAAUGGCAUUUAUUAUUUUACGAGAGAAAAAAUAGUUUUAGUUCUUUCAUUGUCAGCCUGAAGAUUCUUCAUAUAAUUACCACUCGCCCUCUUGUCAGCCUUAGGGAAUUUUUUUCAAAAACAAAAAAUGCCAAAAAGUAAUUUUAGAAUAAAUAAAAUAAAAACUGCAAAAAAAAUGUUUCCUUAGAUUUAGGGGGGAAAAAUAUUCACAGCAUCACAUACAUACUUCAACUUACCUAUUUUAGGGGGGGGGGAAAGGCUAGAUGAAGGAGGAAGCGACGAGAAAAAAAAAAAAGCAAAGGUUUCUAAUCAGGAGGAAAAAAAUGACAAAAAAAAAAUAUUACUACAUACCAGAGAAAGAUGGUAAGAGUAGAAGAUCAUGAAUCAUGAUUAGCAGACUAAGCAAGAAAGAAAAUAUCAAACCAUCCUUGACUUCCUGAAACAAAACCAUUUAGUUAGUUCAUUAUGGAUAAAAAUGAAAGAAAAUGCAUUAACUAAUCCAAUAGAGGAAAAAAGUAGAGUAAAUGAUUAGAAUGAAAAGCAAAAAAAAAAAAAAAAAGAAGGGAGUACAUAGUGGAAAAUAAAUGAGGAAGCUACAAUGUAGAUGAGGAUGUUUUAGUUGUCUUUAAGCAGGAAGGAGAAAGGAAAUAAGGUGAACAGAAAAAAACAGAAAAAAGAAAAAAAAAAAAUGAAGAUAGCUUCCUCAAAAGAAAAAUGUGUAAUGUGUCAAAAUGAAGGGGAACCACUUGGCAUUCAUUGAGGUUGCUACAAUAACUCUACUUUCUUCUUAUAAAAUAGACUAGAGGUAUUUGAACUGUGCAAAGCACAGUUUGGGCCCCUAGAAAUUUAGUCGAAUGCGGAUAAGGGGCAGGGACCUGAACAGUCAACGGCCAAAUUUUGGCCAAAAAAAUGUGCGGUCCAGAUUACAAGUUGUAUAUCAAUUUUCACAACGUGUGUGAGGCCCGUAAAUUUUUAUACUAAAGUUACACGUUGUGCAAACAAAGUUACGCUAUGUGCAAUCAAAGUUAUGCGCUGUGUAAAAUGACCAAAAUGCCCACAGCCGGUCGAAUGCAUAGCAUCAAAUUAUUUUGACACAUGAUGAAUGAAUAGAAAUAUAGGAGAAAUUUUUGAGCAUUAAAGCAAUUAAAUUUGACAAAUAUUAUUUGAACUCUCAUUUUUGUUAAUCAUACUUUCGUUAUUAUUUUUAUCGUAUAGUUUUUGUUUAUUGUAGGAACACAAUUAACACAAUAUGGAGUAUAAAUAAAAUUUCUCUCAAAAUUUGUUGUGAAGAGAAAUUCCAUCUAUGAAGUCAACCUCUCUAUUUAUUGUGAUUUGAAUAAAGAUUUUUGAACCACUAUGAUGAUGAUAUCCAAAAAGGAGAGAAACUUAAUACACUAUAAGUGCUUUGGUGUAUUAAUAGUAGUAUAGUUUUAGUUAAAACUAAAUCAAAAGCAGUCGUAAUACUUUUAGUACUUUAAUAAUGAGAAAAAGUUUAAAAAACUACUAAAACAUAGCACAAUCUUUAACAUCAAUAUAACUUACUAUAAACUUUCAUAUUUUUCUUUCUUCUGAUAGAAGAAUCCAGUUCAUCUAUUUAAAUUCUGCUAAAGGUGACAACAUUAUCCUGCAGCUCCUGAAUAUAAAUAGCAAAGUUAGAUAAAAAUAUGAAUUGCCAUGUUUCCUGGUCUACAUAUACAAAUUAGAAUUGAACUAUUUUUUUUAUUGCAAAAACAUCUUCCUAAUCAAAAUUGAAAUUUCUAACAAUUUUUUGUCAAGUCACACUCUAGGCCGAAAGCCUCAAUUGUGACUUCCACCACCGACUGCAAUCCUUGUAUACCAACCCAAUUCAUACUACAACACUUGAGUAAUUAAAAAACAAACAAAAAUUAACUUUAGUUUAAAUAUAUACAAAAUCUUAUUGGAUCCUUCAAUUAAAUUUAAUAGACCAUAAAGUAAUUGCAAAAAGAAAGAAAUGGCGAAAAACGGAGGUACAAGAAUGCCUAGCUAGAUUUAUCUUGGUGAAAAUAUCACAUGAUAUAUCUUUCUUCUAAACAAAUACACAAAAUUGUAGAUAAUUACAAAAUGUAACCAAAAACAAAGAAAAGGAAACAAAAUGUGAAGUAAGAAAUCAAAUCAUAGGAGAAGAAAAUAAAAGAAUGAAUUUUUGUUCUAUUAUUCAUAGAAAAUGAUCAUUUGUAUAAAAUGAAUUCUAAAUUUUUUUUUACAUAUUUUAAAAUUUCACCUUUUAUCCAUGAAGAACUACCAAAUAAAACAUCAUCCUAUAAAUUUAACAAACAAAUGCUAGUUGGCUAUAACAUUAUGAUAAAAAAAAAUAGAGCAAACAUGCGAGGUUAGAGAUGAAGAAAAAAGGAAGAAAAGAAAAUGUAAAAUGGGAUAAAAAAUAAUAAAGAAUUCUUUUUGCUAAGUAGUUAUCAUCUUGACAAAAAAAAAAAAAAGAACAUGGCAACAAUCUUAGUUAGAUUAGUUUUAAAAAAAUAAAAAAUAAAAAAUAAAAAAGGUGAGGGAUGACAGUAGUUACUGAAAGAAGAAAAAGAAGAGAUGGAGUUGAUUUUCUCAAGGAGAAAAAAUAUUUUAAUCCUUUAACCCAAUUGAGUCAAAAAAAGGGAAGGAAAAAUUCUGGUAAAAUAAUCAAAGGUCCACUUGUAAAAAAUAUAUACAAUACAUGUGUCAAAAAAAUGGUUAGCUACAGUAACUUGACUUUCUUUUAUAUACAAGGUAGAAAUAGAAAAUAGAAAAAUAGAUGUGUGUGUGUGUAUAUAUAUUCAUGAUAAAUUAAAUAAAAUUUAAAUAUAUAAAUGUCUAUACAAUAAUGGGUAGAUACUCCAUGUCAUUUUUGAACUUUUAAUUUUUCCUUAAAAAAAUUAAUUUUUAUUCUAACCACUUGAUCACAUUUGCUAAUAUAAUCCCUCACAACUCCUUAAAUAUUGUAACUAUUAAAUUAACUAUAACUGUAUUAAAGAAAAAUCACUAAUAAAUCACAAUACUUUCAUGAAGAAUUUAUAUAAAAUUUAAUUUUGUAAAAAAUUAAUAUACUCAUAAAAAUUAAUAAUUAUUUCUAAACUACACACACAUUAGAUAUGCUUUUAACAGUAGUAUUAAUAAGUGCUCAUCAUCUGUUAGAAAAUCCUUAUAGAAAUUCGAUCCCAAUAUUUAUAAAAAAUAUUUUCAGCACAUAGAUGUCACAUCAGGAGGGAAAUAUAUAUAAAAAAAAGGUAAAGAGUUGUUAGAUAUAGUUAAUAUAGCUCUCAAACUGUUAAAAUAACACAACUUGUUUGAUGUUCAUUUUGAGGUUAUAGAAUCCUGCUAAUACAAUUUAUAAAAUUUCAAUAGAUUAAAGAUUUUUUUGCACAAGAUGCGUGAUUUUUGUUCAAAGCUGUGUCAGUUAUCUAAAGUUAUCCGUGAAAUAAAAUCUGCAGCAUCUGUGUAUAAAAUUGGACUGUUAACUCCAGCUUGACAGUCAUAUAAAGUAAAGUUGCAAAAUAUAAAAAAAUUGUCUUGCAAUCAUUUGGCUAAACUUUAGAACUUCUAGUAUAACCUAAAAAGAGUUAGGGCACGCAGAAAUCACUAUUGAUCUUUGGGGGAAGAAAAAGUUAGCAAAAGUUAGAGGAAUUUUGCAGAUUAGAAAAAGGUCACAUAGUUAAGCCUGAAUGCUUCUUUAAUCCACCUGUGUUUCUUGGGCCCUGUUUGAUAACUUAAUUUGAUAUUUAAAUUUAAUAGAUUCACAUCUUCAUAUAUUUAAAGGCAUUUGAUAACUAAAAAUAGAACAUUUAAAUUAAUUAAAUGACAUUAAAUUUUAUCAAUAAAAACUUGCUUAUAAAAAUAAAUAAUAAAUUAUUCACUUAUCACUUAAUACAAAAUAUAUUCAAAUAUUAAUAUUUUAAAAUCUAAUAAUUCAAUAAAUUUUAAAUUUUAUCAAAUGCAGCGUUAGUUUUGCAAAUAGUAAUCAAAGACAAAGAUAAUAGUCCUUAAGCCUUGAGCUUCCGUGAAUCAAUAGGCUUGGCGGCUGGUUCAAAUCCUCUUAUUUCUUGCCUGAAAAUGAAGCAGUACUAGUCUUGCAAUGAAUUGUGAUCCCAUUGGACACGACACGCAAAAGUAGCUUCAUAGGUCGUAAAUACAUACCCCACGUGGAAAUUACAACAUUUUAAGGGAAAGAAGAUGCAGCAAAGCAGAAAUUUCAAUUUCAAAUACAGUCCCAAUGUUUUAGAGUCUCCUAAAAUUAGCUUUACUCUUCCAAUCUUUAUAAACUUCUCCCAUUUCUUUUGUGUUCUUUAACGUUCAUCAAUUAAUCGUUAUUUCUAUCACUCAAUUCAGCUAGUAAGAAUAUUUGCUAAUUGAGCAUGAGGUUCUUUAUUUGACUUUUAGCCACUCCUUUUGCUCUUAUGCUGAAUAAGAUUUGGAGUCUCCCUUAAGUGAAAAGGAGAAAUAAUCAUUUUUUGUUAGGUUAGAAAUAUUUGAUUUCUUUUUAAAUUUACAUUCGGGAUCUGUUUGAUAACUUUUUGAUAUUCACAUAAGGGAUCAAAUAUAUGUCUAAGAUAUACAAAAACCUUUUAAAAUGCAUUAAAUGCAUAUCUCUUCAUUCUAAAUUUAAAACUUUCAGUACAUUCAUAAUUUAUAAAAUCAGCAAUUAUGACUUACAUCAUUAAAAUUAAAACCUAUACAAAAUAUGCAUCUAUGAGGAAGGAGUGUGGAUUUAGCGUCUCUAAUCUUUUCUUUUAGCCAAAAAAGUAUGGAUAGCUCAUUAGUUAAAACAAAUUUAAUAGAUGGUGACCUUACUUAGACAACCAUUUUGUUAAGGACUCCACUUCUUCGCCAUAAACAUAUUACCAAUAUUUAGAGAAGUAAAGGGAUUGAAAAUUGGUAUUUUGAGAAAUCUUUACAACCAUACAUCUUUUAAUAAGUUGUAAUUUUGGGGCAGAACUUCCGAAAUCCUAAACUUGACAAACUUGGGAGCAAUUUAGGGAAGACAAAUAAUUUAUUUAUUUUGAAUAGAUACGAGAGCAGAUACAAAUAGAGUAUUUCGUGUACCAGUCAAUUAGAAAAAGAAAUACAACUAAGUAUUUUUACGAGUUAAACAUAAGACAUUAAAAUUUCAACUUAAAUAGGGAUACGCCAUAAUCACCAUUAACCAGAACUAGAAAAGAUUUUCUUUCUCGACUUAGGACAGAGAUCUCUCUGUUUUAAGAGAAGAUAGCAACUUUGCAGAUCGCUUUCUUGGGUUUUAGAUUCAAGGUUGGUAAAAGCACAUUUCUGCUUGAUCCAAUUCUAAAGAACAGGGUUGCAGAAGCCACUGGAAUAGAGGGAAUUGCAAAGAUGAAUAUAUUCAGAUUAGCGGGAGAUAUGACCCAUUUGGCCAGGGAAUUGCAAAGAUGAAUAUAUGCAGAUCGCUGUUCACGUUAAGAUUUAACUAUUUCUGAGGCAAUGAGGUAACUUGGGAACUGGGUUUUGGUAUAUUUUAUGCGGGUUUGGUUUAAAUGGGAAGAUAGUGGUUGAUGGUAGCUUAAACACGAAGAAGUUUGCUGGAUUUGAUGAAAAAGCUGUGAUUUUUGUAAUCAAGUGAUUUGAGGUCAGUGAGGGUAAAGAUUGUUUCUUUUUCUCAGAUUUUAAGGUUAUUUUGUGCAGUGCUUGGUAGUGGUUAGUGUAUUCUUGUUGGGUAUUGAGAAGGUUUCGGAGUUUAAGCUGGAAGUAUGUUUUAAGAAAGGUAGGAUAACGUAUUGUUUUUGGAGUUUAGAUGAAAAUGCAUUGGAAAUAACAUUGGAACUACAAAUAGCUGCGAUAGGUGCAAAAUGCUAAUAAUUGUUUAUCUGGUGAUAUUUGCAAUAACGUGCUGAUUGAAUUCAUCUGGGGGACUCUUGGAAUUCAUGAACAGCUAAUAAAGACACUUUGACAUGUUACCGAGGUCUUAAAUGUAAAAAUGAUUUCUUUUAGGUCUAAGACGAUUUGAUAGUACUUUUACUAGUUGCUAAUCCAUAUAGCAAGCAGUUGGGUCAUGUUAAUCAUUUUUUGGGGCGAGUUCAGUUGUUGCUAUGUUGACCUUCAAAAGUUCUGAUUGCUCCUCCAACCUCCAACACACACCUGUAGACAUACUUGUCCCAAUUAACCAAUGCAAAGGAAGACCACAAAAAGAAAUUGAAAAAAGUCAAGAAAGAUUAAAAAUUUACAUGUUUCAUUCAACUUUUCAGUUACAUAUUUUUUGGUGCAUCUUACUUUUUGGGAUGUAGUUAUUUUCUAGCUUUUGUUUUCCUAUUUUUCAUUUUACAUCAAUUAUUUGCCAAUCAUAGAAUCCUUUUUUUACUUCAGUUCUCAUAUCACUAUUUUUCUAUCUCCUGAAUUCAAUUUGCCUUUUGGAUUAUAUGCUUGUUCAGGAAUGCGUCCCUUCUGAAAUGUAUAAGUCAUGAGGUUCCAUUUUCUGCUUGGCCUUCACUUAGCUGCCUCAAAUAGGGCCUGGAAAGAAAGUGGCUUUUGAGGAACUAAAACAAGCACAAUUGUUGUUUUUGUAAUGCACAGAGGAUUACUUUGCUUGAUAGUUAAGUUUAUCAUUCUUUACAAUGCGUUUCAUAGACAUAGUGUUAAAGAGCUGGUAAAAUGCCACAGAAAAGAGUUGGUAGAAUGACAAAAAAAUAUGUUGUAAAUUGUUACCUAGAGUAAUGUCUACAUUUUAUCAGAAAGAUAUGUACUGUACAGUAUAAAGCAAGUUUCGAUCCUUUGAAAGCUGUGAAUUGGAUACAGUGACUGCUAUCUCUUUAUUCCCUCAUUUCCAGUUUUUCGUUCUCUUCUUCCUUUGGUAUUCUAAAAAGUUAGGUAGAUUUUUAAGGAAACAUUGCAUGCCAGAGAUGAGAUCAGUUCGGAUGUACUAUAUAUGAGUUAGAAUUUAAUUGGAGUGUGAUAUGGAAUAUUGAUUUUUGUUCUCUGUUGUCAGAGAGGUCCAAUCAUGCCAAGAAGCAAAAGAUAAACUGUGUGCAGAAGGAAUUUACUAUGUGGUUAGGACAAAUGUACUUCUCAUGAAUCCAUUAUUGUUUAGAGAGGUAAACGUGAGAUACCUGAGACUAUCAAGAAUUCCAUUAUUGCUUCAGAUGAAUUUUUCGCUCUUUAAGUUGACAGUAAAGUCAAAACUUUAAUUUUUCCAUGAACAAGAUAUGCAUGUGUUCUUUUUUUACACAAGGAAAGUAUCGUUGUGUCGAAAAGUCAAUUUAAGCCCGUUGCAUGGAACAUGUCUUGUUGGAAUUUGGAACUGGAUCUACAUGCCUGCUACAUUCCACAAGGCAUUUGCAACUCUGCAUUUUAUGCUGCAGUUUGUUAUUAUCAUGCUUCUUCUGGUUCCCUUAUCAUAUAUUUGCUGAUUGUUGCCAUCCUACAAAAUGUGCAGGCAUUUCUUUGAAGACCCAAGAGCUCUAUGCUAUUGUCUUUGCUACUCGUUACUUGGACAUAUUUACAGACUAUAUCUCCCUAUACAAUACCAUAAUGAAGUUAAUAUUCUUGGGAAGCUCUUUCUCAAUUGUCUGGUACAUGAGGCAUCACAAGGUUGUCCGGAGAUCUUACGAUAGGGAUCAGGACACAUUUCGCCAUCUUUUCCUUGUGCUACCAUGUUUGCUUUUGGCUCUGGUUAUACAUGAAAAGUUUACUUUAAGGAGGUAUUGGUGCUUCCAUUUUGCCAUUAACAUGUGAUAAUGUUAGAAUUCUUGUAUCCGGUGAAGAUGUUUUCUUCUUGGUAACUAGACAUAUAUGUGUGUGUCUUCCGCUUUCACUGUAUGUCACUAUAUAAUUUUGCUUGAUAUGUGACCUCAGGUAAUGUGGGCCUUUUCCAUAUUCUUGGAAGCUGUUGCCAUCCUUCCUCAGCUGGUCUUGUUGCAAAGGACAAGAAAUAUUGACAACCUGACUGGGCAAUAUGUUUUUCUUCUUGGGUAAUAUAGCAUUCUCAAAUUCCCAUUUAUGAUAGUUAAAGCUGUACCUAUUGUUUUAUCUGGAAAAUUGUCAUUGUCUCUUUAUAUCUUUAGGUGUAUCUUGUGCUGGUCAGUUGUUUCAUUGAGGUUGAGCGGAUUAGCUGCUAUUGGUCUUGCUAAGACACAAUUUUUUUUGGGGCUCUAAAUUUGUUGAGAAAUUCAUGUGUAGAUGAUCUUCACUUAAAUGAAGUACAUACAUCUAAAUGUUUGUCAAACUACUAGUGCUUCUGACUUUUUAUGUGCAUUGCAAUUAUACAAAUGGCCAUACAGAAAUGAAGUUGAGUUUUUUUUUUUCUUUUUUCCUUGUGAGAGGCUUUCUGAUCUCUUAUUUUACUUGUUGUCUUGAAUUUUAUCUUUUUUUGAAGUUCAGGUUAAAACCUAGCUUAUGGUCUUCUUCUGUUUCAGAGCUUAUCGAAGCUUAUACAUUCUGAACUGGAUUUACCGCUAUUUCACUGAGCCACACUAUGUCCACUGGAUAAGUAUGUCUCUCUUUCUCUCCCUCGCUCUUUUCCUGUGUUUGUCAUAACAUGUCCAAGCACAAGCUCUAACCAUAGCUUGCUUGAUUGCAUUUCAGUAGGGUUUUUAUGUUUCUCUGUUUAUGAAAAGCUAACACUUUUCUGAUGGUUUAUUCCUGGCAGCUUGGGUAGCAGGGCUUGUUCAGACUGCACUUUACGCUGAUUUCUUCUAUUAUUACUUCCAAAGGUGAAAUUCCAGCUGAGGCAUUUACCUGUAAGCUUGUUUGAUGUUUGACAGGGAAAAUAACUUGACUCUUUCUUUUGAAUUGCUGCAGUUGGAAGAAUAAUGUAAAACUAGAGCUGCCAGCUUGAGGGCCUUUUUGACAAAGAUGUUGGCUGCUCAAAAACUUAGUGAAGCAAACACUAUUUGAUGUCGAGACAUUUCAAUUUUGUGCUGUCUCCUCUCGUAGGGGCUAGUAGACCUGUCAAGAAGCAAUAGUUCUAAAAGUUCUUUUCCCCAUCUCUCUGGCUUGUCAAGUGAUUGAUACAUCAAUGUAUGCAAGAUAAAACCUUUAUUUGUCACUUGCAUGAUACUUGAGGAAUACUAGCACAUUCUUUCUUUAAUGGUCAGUUUGACAAGCAUUCUGGAUUCAGAAUGGCUCAGUGCCCCCUCUAUCCCUGCAUCUGUAUUCCAACUUUAAUGGUAACUGCAGUUCAAACUACACACACACACAACAACCCCCCCCCCCCCCUUCCCGGGCGCUGCGGGGCAGGGCCUACAAUAAAAAAGGUUUGAAAUGAGUAAAUGCAGUGUUGUUUUCUACAGUAAGAGGAGAGGAAAAGAAGGAUGUUGGCUCUGUUAUCCCCAAGGUUGAUAUUGUGUAAAUUCGCUUGUGGCCAUAACCAAACUGAGUACUCAGUACUGUUACGAGUUUCUUACAGUUUAGCAAUCUUAAUAUUUUAUUUCUAUGUCUAUCACUUGGGGUGAAACAUUGCAGUUGAAAUCAACGCCUAGUUUGGUAGUUUGGAAGAGAAAAAGAAGGGAAAAAAAAGCUGUGGUUUGGUAUUAUAGUAAAAUCUUGUCUUGGAGUUUAGGAAGAUAACGAGGUUUCUUAGCAAAUGUCAUGUUUCUUCUUCUUCAAUCUUUCAUGCGUGAAGUUAUCAUUGCUGUCUUCAAUCUUGAAGAACCCAAAUUUCCAUUUCUCUUCUUUUCUUCCUUAAUGACAAGAAGCAAAAUUGUUCCAAGGUGUGUUUCUUUGUGAAGUAACUAGACCUAGGAAUUUUUUUUUUCAGGGUCCUUGGAGCCAAAAUUUGUCUAAUACUAAAUUAAUCACAGUUGAAAUUAAGUAAUCAAGCUCAAGUUCGGCUUAAACUUCCUCGUGUAAUUUUCACUUUGAACUUUCCCUGACUUGAUGAAAAGUUUUAAAUACUCUAGUGAUUGCAAGCAUGAACGUUUGGAUCAACUUAUAUUGCUUGUGAUUCCAAUUAGAUUUACAUGUUUUGAUUGCUUUUCAUGCAUUCUUAUCUGCAAAAAUUAUUUCGGGAUGCUAUAUAAGUAACAUGUAAUCUUUUAUGCUUGCAAAAUUUUGAUUGCUUAAUCUGUCCAUGCAUAUAUCUUGUUCACUUUUUUUUUUGUUAGAAAUUAAAUAUUAGGUGUUCUUAAUAAUUCUUAAACGUUGUACAAGUGGGCAUAAGUGCACUUGAAUACAUGUUUAUCAAACAAUAAAUGUUCAGUUGGCUUCAUGCUUCGUAUUGCACUCCUUACUUUAUUGUUUGAACUUGAACUCAAACUCAAUUAUAAUUAAACCGAUUUAUCUUCGAACAAGUCGAGUACUAAGUAGCUCAUAUUCACAAUGGAUGAUUGAGUAAUCAACUCAAUAUAUCUUACAAUCAUUUGAGCAUUAAGCAACUAAUAUUUUCAAUGGAUUGAUUGAAAAUCUAUACGAAAUAAUCCUUACGCAUUCAUUCUUGUAACCAAAAAAAAAAAGAGUAAUGCCUUUUUUGAAGGGUUUGCAAGAGAAUUUGCAGCAGUUUGAAGCUCAUAACUGUAUUUCUUUUUUUUUUUUUUUUUGUUAUGAAACAAGAAAACAAUUUUGUUGUUAACCAUCCUCUUCUCAAUAGAGAUUUCUUUUCUUUUCUUUUCUGUUUUCCGUACAAUGGAGGGCUGGCAGCCCAUUAGCUUAGGACAAGUCUCAGGGUAACUACCUCGACAAUGUCCUUUGCCAAAAUAUUCCUAACCCCAUCAGGUGGGUCCUGCAAAAUUGUAAACCUCAUCUCCCCCUCAAGACUGCACUUGGCCAGAUAAUCUGCAACUCUAGUUCCUUCUCUUCAUGUGUGUGUCAGUUUACACUCCCAACUUCUAUUCAAUAACUCUAUAAUUUUCCUGACUAAGUUUGAAUGUAGCCCUUUUUUGCAGUCCUCUUUAACUAGCAUCACACUUGUAAGGGAGUCAGUUUCCACGUGCACACAGCUUAUCCGUUCUUCCCAGGCCAAUUCCAUCCCUCAGACAAUGCCUCAUAACUCAGCAAUUAUGUUGCUUGCAAUUCCCAAGUUGAUGCAAAAGCCCUGCUUCCACACCCCCGUUUCAUCCCUAAUGACAUCUCCUGCUCCUGCAACUCCAGAUCGACCGGUGGAUGCACAUCAAUAUUCACCUUUAUCCAUCCUGUCAUUGGUUUCUCCCAACAUAUUCCUCUCUAUUCAAAUGAGUUCCUGUUUCUCCCUAUCUUGAGUACCUCUUGUUCCUCCUUGAUCAUGUUCAUUAGCUUAUUCCAUGGCAUUCAAGUUGUUGGUAAUCUCCUUCUGCAUUGACUUUAUUCGCUGACCAGGCAUAAUACACUAUAUGUUAAAAUGCAACUUGCUAGCAAAUAUCUUCCCUUCUUCCCACAGUUUUGGACUUGAGGUUCCAAUCUAUCCAUUUUACCAAUGGCAGAGAUACAAAAGUUUCCUAUUUGUCCUCAUCUACUAUACUUCUCCAUGAAUUUUGGACCCAUUGACAGUCUUGCAAUGCAUGCAAGAUGUCCUCUUUCUGAUUCUAGCAUAUUGGACAUGCGCCAUCACGAUGAAGAUGUCUUCUCCAUUUCUCUUCAUUAGUAAGUAAUCUUCCAUGCCUUGCUAACCAAAGUAGAAACUGCCAACGACCUAGCCCCUUCUGUUUCCAAACAUUUGUCCACCCUUUAUCCUCUUGGUGCUCCUAUUCUUCCGUAUGGCGUACUAGACUGUAGGCUGAUGAAGUUGUAAAACACCCUCUAUUAUCUAGACUCCAAGACAUUAUAUCCGGUUGUUUCCUGGAACUAUACAAAGGGGAUUUAGUUUCUUCAAGUAUUCCUCAGGCAGUAUUUGUCUUAACUUCCCUAAAUUCCAUCCUUCAUCAUCUACCCAGUAAUCUAUUACCUUCUUCUCUUUCUCCUCCUCAGGUAUCAAUAUCUAUGCAACUUCUACUAGACUGACAUCUUCUAACCAUUUGUCCUCCCAGAACUUAAUACUCUCCCCAUUUCCAAUUCUCCAUUUUAUCCUUUUACUUAUAACUUCAUUUCCCAUACACUGGUCCUUCCAGAUCCUUGAUGCACCCUGCUUGUAUGCCAUCUGAAUGUUGACUUCCUCCUGGCCCAAUUGGUACUUACUCUUGAGUACUCUACUCCAAAGUUCCUCUAGAUUGGUCCGAUACCUCCAGUUCAAUUUCUCCAGCAAAGCUCUGUUCAUCUUCUCCAGACUCCUUAUACCUAGACCACCAUCCCUUUUCCAUUUCGUCACCGUUCCCUAUCCAACAUGAUGCAUUUUCUUUUUUCCUUCAUUGUCUCCCCAUAGGAAUCUCCUUACACAUUUUUUUUGUUUCCUCCACCACCGCUAGUGGUACUACUGCUGUUUGCAUUAGAUAAUUUGGGAUGGCAGUUAGUACAACAUUAGCCAACACUAGUCUUGCAGCACAUGACAAACACUUACUCUUCCAUCCAACAAUUUCUAGAUCUCGUGCACAUUGUCCAAUAGCUCAGAAUAUGUAUCCUUCUUAAUUCUCCCAUGAAUGAUUGGGACUCCAAGGUACUUCCCUAGAUUCUUGGUCCAUGGCACCCCUGUGGUCUAACUAAUCUUUCGCGCCUCACUUCUUGGUACAUUCUCAAAGCAGAACAAUUUCGAUUUAGCGGCGUUCACUUUUUGGCCUGAUAUCUCACAGAAGAUCCUCAUUAUCCUUUCCACCACAACUGCUUGUUUUAUUGAGGCUUCUACAAAUAAUAAUAAGUCGUCAGCAAACAAUAGAUGGGAGAUUUUAGGUCCAGAUCUUGAUGCCUUGACUGGUUUCCAGCUCCCUUUCUCUAUUGCCUCCUCAAUCUAAUGACAGAGCCUUUCCAUGCAUAAUACAAACAAAUAUGGGGAUAAUGGAUCCCCUUGCCUCAGACCCUGAGUAGGUUGGAUGGCCUUUGUCCUUUUCCCAUUCUAUAGCACCUCGAUUUUGGGCACUCUCACACAGCUCAUUAUCAGAUGGAUGAUAUUUGGGGGAGGCCCUGCCCUCUACAAAGUAUCUUCCAGAAAAUCCCAUUUAAUUCGAUCGUACGCCUUCUCAAGAUCCACUUUUACCACCAUUAUUCCCUUUCGUCCUCUUAGUCUUCUUGUUGUGUAGAGGAUCUCCUAACUAUAGUGAUGUUGUCUCCAGUUUGCCUGUCAGGUAUAAAGCUCCCUUACGCUGGACCUAUUAGCUUCCCUAUAAGUUGUCUUAUUAUCUAAACAAGCACUUUUGUUAUGAAUUUGUAUGUUACAUUACACAAAGAAAUAGGCCUAAACUGAUAAAUUUUUUCCGGAGACUUCACUUUAGGUUUUAGUGUUAUAAGUGUACCAUUAAUGCCCUCAGGUACUCUUCUUUCCAUAAGCACUUGCUUCACGAACCUAACCACUGACUUUCCCACUAUCCCCCAACCUUUCUGGGAGAAAAACACAUUUAUACCGUCUGGCCCCGGCGCCUUUGACUUCCCCAUACUGAACACUGCCUCUUUCACUUCAUCAGGACCCACCUUUGUUCCCACUAGCUCCAUCCUUUUCUUGUCUAUUCUUGGGAAUUGCUGAGUGCAUGGAUUUGCCUUUCUUUUAACUCCUUCUCCUGUGUAUAAAGUAGUACAGAAUUGAACCACCAUUUGUUUUAGAGUCUCACUAUCUGCCUGCUACUUUCCAAACUCAUCUUUUAGACAUGCUACUGUAUUCUUUCUCCUUCUAACAAUUGCUGUGGUAUGAAAAUAUUUUGUGUUUCUCUCCCCAUACAAAGUCCAAUUAGUCCUGGCUUUUUGAUACCAGAAUAACUCCUCUUGCUCCAAUAUGAGAUUAUACUCUUAUCAAUUUGUUCUCCAAUUUCUCUAUGGCUCUACUAUAUCCUUACGCCAACUCUCUCUGUACUCCUUUCAAUCGGGCAAUACACCUUCUUUUCCUUUUGAUUAUAUUACCAAAAAACUCCCCUAUUCCAUGUUUGAAUAUUCUCCUAAACAUUGAAAACUGUCCCUUGAAAUUGUUUUGCCCCAUUCCAAGCUUUCCUAACCUCAUCCCAAAAUCCCCCAUGCGUUAGCUAGGCCAUUUCCAUCCUAAACACAUUCUUCCUCCUUGCAAGUUUUUCCUUGUCUAAUUCUAGCAUAAUAGGGUGGUGAUCUGAGUGAGCUCUAGCUAGAUGCCUUACAUGGGCCUCUAGAAACUUUUGCCUAUAUAUAUAUCACUAGAGGUACCUCGGCUGUGCAACGCACAGCCAGGGCCCUUUAGAACAUUAGUUAAAUACAUAAUAACAAAUGUUUUAGUACAUAAUGAAUAGAAAUAUAGGAAAAAAAUGAAGUAUAAAAACAAUUAAAAUUUGCUGUGAAAAGAAAUUUCAUAUAUAAAGUUAACCCCAAUUUAUUGUGAUUUGGAGAAAAAAAUUUUAACCAAUAUUAUGUGUACGUAAUGAUACCAAAAAAUAAAAGAAAGCAAAUCCAUUAUAAGUGCAUUAUCGGUUUAAUAGCAGCAUAGUUUUAGUUGUAAUUAAAUAAAGAGUAGUCAUAAUGUUUCUAACAUUUUAAUAAUUAGAAAAAAUAUAGAAAGCCACAAAAACCUGUCACUAUCUUCAACAUCAAUAAAAAAUAUACAAACUUGCAUAUUUUUCUUUCUUUUUUGAGAGAAAGAACGAGUUAAUCUAUCCAUUUAAAUCAUGUCUAAUAGCAUUACAAAUAGAUGAAAACACUAUCUAACCAAAUAGUUAUAGAAUACAUAUAGCAAGUUUAAAUAAAAACAUGAAUUGCCAUAUUUGUAAAACUACAUAUGCAAAUUCAAAUCCAACAAUUUGUUUGAUUGCAAAUAUGUCUUCUUAAUCAAAACAGAAUUUUCUAAUAAUAUUUUGUAGAGUGACACUCUAAGCUAAAAUCCUCAAUACUAACUUCCCACCAAAUGCAUUCCUUUGAAAACUGCAAUUGUUUUAUCUAGUCAAAUUGACAAAAAAUUAUUAACUUCUUUAGCCAAAUAGUAAUAAUAUGUCCAGUUUUAUGCCUAACAAUCAUCUCAAACUCUAAUUACAUUAUCUAUCAUUAUGGGCAAUAGAAAGGGAUAAGAGUACAAAGUCAUAUAGAACCAGUUUAAGUAAAAGAUUCUGAAAUCUAAUUUUGCACUUCUUUUAUUUCCAAACUAUCAUUUGCUAAAAUUAAAACCAUGAAAAUAAACUACCUAUUAUGGAUACAAGUUAGUCAUUCAAAAUGUUGAAUGAAGAGGUAUAAAAUAUUAACUUCACAUUCUAAAUUGCUAGCCCCAACAAUUAUUUUACCCGUCACCCAUCUUAUCCAGUUUAUAAGCACUUUUCACAAUUAAUAAACUUUAUAUAAAUUAAAAUAUAAUUACCUAUCCAUAAAUUAAGAGAUUCUGGUUAAUUUUUAAUUUAAUAGGCAUCAUUUUUUCUUCCUGGUCAUCGUUUACCUUGGAUUUUCAUUUAUUAGAUUUUUUUCUCCUCUACUAUAGUACUAUCACCCUAUUAUCAAAUAACAAUUUUAAUAAAUAAAAAAUUAGAAUCAGAAUGAAUCUGCAUAAUGGUGUUAUUUAUUUUAUGAGGGAAAAGUAGUUACAAUUCUUUCAUUGUUAGCCUAAAAAUUCUUCAUGUAAUCACCACCCGUCUUGUUGUCAGCCUUUUCCAAAAAUAAAAAGAUCAAAAAGUAGUUUCAGAAUAAAUAAAAUAUAAAAAACUAAAAAAUGUUUCUUUAGAUUUGGGAAAAAAUAUUCACAGCAUCACAUACCUAUUUUGGGCAGAAAAGAAAGUCAGAUGAAGAAGAAAUAGGUGAGAAAAGCAAUAAGCAAAGAUUGCUGAUCAAGACGCAAAAAAUGACAAAAAAAAUAUCAAAUAGUAUAUACCAAAAAUAGAUAUUAAAAGUAGAAGAUCAUGAAUUAUAAUUAUUGGACUAUGGAAGAAAGGAAAUAUCAAACCCAUUCUUGAUCUCCGAUAAUGAAAUCAUUCAUUUAGUUAAUUAUGGACAAAAAUGAAAGAAAAUGCAUCAACUAAUUCAAUAGAGAAAAAAUAUAAUAAAUGAUUAAUUAGGAUGAUAGGGGAAAAAAAUGGAAUACAAAGUGGAAACAAAAUAAUAAAUCUGCAGUGUACAUGAGGAUUUGUUUAAUUAUCUUUAAUCAAAAAGAAGAAAGGAAAUAAAGUGAACAAAAGAAAAAACAAAGCAAAAUGAAGAAAAGAAAAGGAAUGGGCCACGUGUCAAAAUGAGAGGGAUCCACUUGGCAAUCAUUGGAGUUGCUAUAGUAACAGAAAGGAAAUAUCAAACCCAUUCUUGAUCUCUAAUAAUGAAAUCAUUCAUUUAGUUAAUUAUGGACAAAAAUGAAAGAAAAUGCAUCAACUAAUCCAAUAGAGAAAAAAUAUAAUAAAUGAUUAAUUAGGAUGAUAGGGGAAAAAAUGGAGUACAAAGUGGAAACUAAAUAAUAAAUCUGCAGUGUACAUGAGGAUUUGUUUAAUUAUUUUUAAUCAAAAAAAAGAAAGGAAAUAAAGUGAACAAAAGAAAAAACAAAGCAAAAUGAAGAAAAGAAAAGGAAUGAGCCACGUGUCAAAAUGAGAGGGAUCCACUUGGCAAUCAUUGGAGUUGCUAUUGUAACUCCACUUUCUUCUUAUAUAAUAGGUAGAUUACAUAAUGCAUGGUCUAACUUCUCCCUAAUGUUAGAUCCUCCUUUCCUUGAAUUUGUCCAAGUGAUUGCUGGGCCGGAAGAACCCAAGUCAAUCAAGUUACAAGCAUGUAUGCAAUCCAAAAGUCCAUGUCUUUUUCUCUUCCAGAAAGAAGUUUCUCCUUUUUUCUCUUGGUUCGAUGUUGUCUCAUUCAUAUCUCCAAUCACCAACCAUGGAAACUUUAUAGUGGAACUUAUUCUUUGCAUAUAAUCCCAUAACCUAAGCCUUUCAGUCUGUUCGGGAGAUACAUAGAUUGCUGACAAUAGCCAACUUGAAUCAUCACCUCUCCUCACUAACACAUUUAAGAUUUGCUUAUCUUUAGUUAUCUCCUCCACUCUAGUUUUUUUCUUAUUUCAGAACAUCCAUAUUCCCCCUGAGUAUCCGUUGGCGUCUAUGCACUCUUUCUGAUCAAACUUCCAACAUUUCUGGAUUUUCUCAACUUGAUCAUUAUGACUGCGAUUUUCUACCAAAAUCAGCAUAUCUAGUUUAUGGUCUUUCAAUAUCUCUUUUAGAUUACAUCUAAGUCUCCUAUUUGCCGUGCCUCUUCCAUUCCAACAGAUUGCCUUCAUCAUUACGUAUGUAGGUGUUUCGGCAUUAAUGCCCUAUAACCAUGGCCUCCUCACCCAACUGUGUCUUCGGGGCCAUUCUGGGUCCUUUAUCCCCUCGCGCGAGUCAAUAGAUUCCUUUAUACUGAUUUGACCCCCAGUCUCUUGGUCCUCAUCACCUUUCUCUAGCCUUCCUCCUUUUUUGCUACCCCCUUAUUCUCUUCUGACUCCAUUCCUUCAAAUUCUGACUUAGAUAUGGUGGGGUUGUAGUGGGAUUGUUUCUCCGUCCUUUCCCAAUUUGUAGCAAAGGGUGUCCCCAGUUCAACAUCUCAUACACACUUGCUGGGUUAACCCCUCUAGCCUGCUCUUGUCCUCUAUUCUCAGCUAUAUGCACCUGCCUAGCUUCAAUAGGCAUCUGUAGUUUAAGUCGCCUUGCUGACUCUAAACCAUUAACCCCUUUAUCCUUUGACUUCUUCACACUCUUGCUCCUCUGAAAACCCCAGUUUUACCAAGCUCCCUGUAGUGCUGCUCUUUCCCUUAGUAGCCCUUUUCCUCAAACCUUGCCCUCUGUUACCUUCAUCUCCUUUGAACGCCAUGUCUACCAUGGUCCUCGGUAUAGCAAACAAUUUUUUCUUCAUUACUUCUAUUGUAUCCUCUUUUUCUGAUUCCUCCGAUGCUUCAUUCUCUAUGUCCAACAAUCUGAAUCUAGAGCCACUAACACUAUCUAUAGGUUCUUUAUCCUUGAUGACCUUUCUCCUAUAUCUCUUUGUUCAUUUCGGCCCUCUUGCCUACCUACUUUCCCUGUACUCCGAGUCCGCCCUUUUCCUUCUUGUCACAACACAUAAUCUAUAAUAAUUCACCACUCCCUUUAACAUUUGCAUAACACAUAAUCUAUAAUAUUUAUAAGAGUAGAAACUUAACAAACUAUUUACAAAAAUACUCUUACUAAUUUAUUAUUUACAAGAAUACUUAUAUUCUCUUAAUACUCCCUCUCAAGUUGGAGCAUAUAUAUCUAAACACCCAACUUGUCACAGAUGUAUUUCACCCUAAAAUCCCCUAAACUCUUAAUAAAUAAAUCAACCAAUUGAUCUACAGACGGUAUAUGAGAUGUCUUAAUGACUCUAUAUAUUGAGUACAUAUUUCCUUUGAUAUAAAUAAAUCUCAUUUUUAGAUCGACAUAACUCAAUGCCUAGAAAAUAAUACUGUAAAUAACCUAAAUCCUUUGUCUGAAAGUUUGCCUGCAAAUUGGAUUUAAGUUUCUGGAUCUCCACAACAUCAUUACUUGUAAUCACAAUAUCAUCCAUAUAAAUAAUUAAUAAAAUUUUACCAGCAUUAGAAUGUCGAUAAAAUACAGAGUGAUCUACUCCACAUCUUGUCAGAUCGAACUCCAUGAUAACACUACUAAAUCGGCCAAAUCAAGCCCUAGGAGACUGUUUCAAUCCAUAUAAGAAUUUUUUCAAACGACAAACCAAUCGCGAAUUCUCCUCCUGAACAACAAAGUCAAGAGGUUGUUCCAUAUAUACAUCUUCUUCCAAAUCUCCAUGUAAAAAAAAUAUAUUUCUCAUAUCCAACUGAUGCAACGGCCAAUUAUAAGUUGCUGCCAAAGAGAUAAGAAGAUGAACUGAGAUAAUCUUUGCAAUAGAAAAAAAUGUUUCUAAGUAGUUUAUUUCAUACACUUGAGUAAAUCCUUUAGCUACCAGAUGAGUCUUCAAUCGAUCAAUAAAAUCAUUAGAUUGCACUUUUAUAGUGUACACCCAUUUACAACCAACAAUAGCCUUACCAGAAGGAAAAGGGAUAAAAUCCCAAGUUCCAUUUUAUUCCAAAGCAGACAUCUCUUCUUGCAUAGCUAAUCUCUAACCAGGAUGAUUAAGAACAUGGGUAAUAGACUUAGGAAUGGAGACAGAAUCAAGUGAAACAACAAAAGAAGAAUAUGAUAUAGAGAGACGAGAAUAAGAAACAAAAUUAGAAAUAAGAUGAGAAGUACAAUGCCUCUACUUUUGCGUAGAGCAAUAGGAAGAUCUAACUCACAGGAGGGCGUCAUACCUGGAUUUGAAAAUCGAGAGUUAAUUGAUGAAGUGCGUGGCAUAGCAGGAGUUUUCUUAACCAUGGAACGACGAGAAUAAACUUGAAAGUUAGGACGAGAUAACCGUGUUAUGGAAUCUAGUGGACUACAUAACUCAGGUAAUAAAGAGAAAGGAACUGGUAAAACAAGAGAGGAAAAAGAGGGGCACUAGUCUGACUCACAAGGCAUACCGUAUUUCAUAAAAUAUGGAGUGGAUUAAAAAACAAAACAUCAACAUAAAUAAAAAAUCGAUUUAAAAUUGGACUGUAACAUAUAUACCCUUUUUGCGCUCGUGCGUAUCCCAAGAAAAUACAUUUAAUAGCACAAGAAUCUAAUUUAUCCACCAUGGAAACAAGCUGAUGAACAAAACACACACAUCCAAAAAUACGAUGAGGUAAUUUAAACGCAGGUUCAUGAGAAAAAAGAAUGGAGUGAAGUAAUUGGCCUCCAAGGAUAUUAGAUGGCAUGCGAUUAAUUAAAUAACAUGCAGUUAGACUGCAUCACUCCAAAAUUGUUUGGACACAUUCAUGUGCAACAAAAGUGUCCGAGUAACCUCGAUUAAAUGUCCAAUUUUUUUUUCAACAACUCCAUUCUGUUGUGGAGAGAACAAAAGAACUGAUGAAUAAUACCGGACUUAAUCAUAAAGAUAUUAAAAAGAGAAAAAAUAUUCUUUCGUAUUAUCAUUGCGAAGUAUACGUAUAGACACACCAAAUUGAUUCUUUAUUUCUGUAACAAAUGUACAAAAAAUGGAAUAUAGUUCUGAAUAAUUUUUCAUUAAAUAAAGUCAUGUAACUCUUGAAAAAUCAUCAACAAAGAUUAUAAAAUAUUUAAAACCUAACUUUGAAGUGACUUGACUAGAACCUCAAACAUCAAAAUGAACUAACAAAAAGGGUUCAGAAACCCGUUUAUUGACUCUAGGAGCAAAAGAAACACGAUGAUACUUUUCUAACUGACAAGACUCACAUUCUAACGAAAACAAUUGACUCAAAGUAUGAACCAAUUUUUUCAAAUUUUGUAAAGAUGAAUGACUUAAACUACAGUGAAUUUGAAGCGGAGAAACAGUAACAGGACAUGCAAUCGAACUAUUGGAGUUGAGAAAAUAAAGACCAUUAUACUCAUCCCUCCACCAAUCGUCCUCUUUGUCUUCAAAUCCUGAAUGACAACAAAAUCAGGAAAAAAUAAUUGAACACUGUAGAGAUUUAGUGAACUUAUUAACAGACAUUAGAUUAAAGGGCAAAUUGGAUACGUAAAGAACAGGAGACAGCGGAAGAGAUGAGUUAAUUUCUACAGUGUGCCUAGUCCUUUAAUUUUAGUGGUAGAUCCAUCAGUUAAAGUAACAUGAGAAAAGAAGUAGACUUUUGAAAAUUAGAAAAAUUUUUAGAGAUACCUGACAUAUGAUUAGUAGUCCCGGAGUCAAUAAUCCAUGAGUCAUUACCUUUUUAUGCUAAAGAAAAGAGGGAAGAGAUGCGUGAUUUGUAACUUGGUACUGUAGGAAUUUAACAUAAUCUUUCUCGGAUAUAGUAAAAGUCUUCUGGAACCCAUGUGCUGAAAAACUUAAUUUAACUUGGUCAGUGGUAACCACAUUAGCAUAACUUUCAACCAUAGCGAAUAGCACUUCAAACAAAAAAAAGUCAAAAUUUGCGAUGAACAAUAACACGUUAAUAGUACUCGUGAACAGUACUUUUGAACAGUAAUGCGUGAACAGUCGGUGAACGUACGCAUGAACAGUCGAUGAACAGUAUCGUGUGACGCGAUGACUAAUAUCACGUGAACAAGACUUUUGCUAGAUGUUUAACUCUAACUCUAGAGCUUUUGCUCUGAUACUAUGAGAACAGGUAUUUUGAAAGGAAAAUAUCUAAUCACUGUAUUAUGAGUGACCAACUAAUAUUUAUAGCAGUACAAACCUAACAAACUAUUUACAAGAAUACCCUUACUAAUAUAUUAUCCAUAAGAAUACUUAUAUUCUCUUAAUAAAAAUAACUACAGAACCAUCAUUUAAUUGUACUUCAACUUUGAACUAUUAGUUAAUUUUUCUUUUCUCCAAACAUUCAUGAUGUAGCUUAUGUGAAGUCUUUCUUCCACGAAUAAUAUUAAUCUUAACCAUUCUUCUUACUACCUUCAAUAACUGAGAAUUUACACAAAGGAAAAAUCAUAUUUUUCUCGUGAGUUACAAAUAAAUCAAGCAGCUUACAAAUGCUAAUGAGUUUACUCGAUCAAAAUUCGAUUUGAAUUUGAUCAAUGUUCUGACAAACCUCACAAAAAUGGUCACCACUGUCACAAUUCAACAUGAAAACAAUGCAUGCAACCCAUAGCUCUAACAUGUUGUCCGUGCACCAUUUCCCCUUGACAAACCUCACAAAUGUGGCCACCAUUAUCACGAUUUUCUUUUACUAGAAGGGAAUCACCACGCGAUGCGCGGUGUUAAUUUCAUGUUGCCCAGAAAAUGCCCAAAUUCAUAAGUGGAGAUAUCAUGAUUUGGAUGCAUUGCAUUUAAGUUAUUUCGUUAUAAAAUGAUUAAACUUUUAAAUAAGCGAAAGCGUGAGCAAAUAAAUGGGUAACUUUUCUCGAUUUCCAAUUGCUAUGCAUGUUUAGCUAAUCCUUAUCCCUUCUCACCAUUUCAAAUUUACGUGAUCCUUAUCCGUUAAUCUUAUGAACUAAUCUGGAACACAGAAAAUUGAAAUCACAUCUACAAAACCAUUCAGCCUUUUUUUUUCUUCCAAGGAGACAGUAGCAUCGAACUUCUUAAUUGCCUUCGAUGUGCAUAUAGCAACUCUUAGAAGACGGCGACUGACUCAAUGUGAAACCUAAAAUGUUAAUUUUCGAAAGGACUCCUCAGAGAUAGAGGCAGGAAUUUCUCGAUGACCGUACACGUCAGGAGUCCAUCCAGGAAAGUGUGGUACAUCCUCUUUCCGUCUCCUAUUUGCAGAAGUCCCAAGUACUCUGAAUGAGCCUCACGAAGCCCAGACUGCGCGGGUGGUUCAUGCUAACCACCAGACUGACGGAACCACAUACACAAGAAGGCACCCUUGGCUUCGUCUUCACCUCUCCGAGCCACUGCAUUUCCGCCAGUGGACAGCAUCAUGCGGAACAAAGCCCAUUCACUAUCAUUAGUUCUUAAUCGUUCGUCGACUGCCUCGAGCCAGCAAGAUAUCUCUCCCGAACAAGGUAAGAGGAAGCUAGGUAGAUGAAGUUUGUAUGAUCUAUCAACGAUCAGCACCAGUUACUAUCAUGACAUUGGCAGUCCCAUAUAUUUAGUCCUAGAAUAUUGCAUAAGCUCAAACCACUGCACGUAAAAUACAGAAAAAAUUGGUUAGACUCGGAUCAUAAUAUAUAGUGCUACAGUAGUAUUCCAUACCUGAGAGAGAGAGAGAGAGAGAGAGAGAGAGAGAGGAGAGAGGAGGGGGAACAGAACCAUCUCACACAACUUAGAAAUAUACUCUCUAUUUAAAACGUUACUAUGAAGCUUUGGUCUGACUAUGUUCAAUUUUUUUGGUUUUGUCAUGUCUACCUAGUAAUUGCUAAGCAUCAGCUGUGUUGCAUAGAAACACGGUGGAGUCAAUAAUCAUCUAGUUCAUAUUUUCUCUCAUGCAGAAAUGGAGAUAUUCUAUGGAAUCAACAAACUCAAUAAGAUAAAUACAAAAUUCUGAUUUUAGGUCCAUGUAAACUUUCUUGCUUUCCAGUUUUACCUACUACAAACAAAUUAAUAGUUUUGGCAUUUUAUCAAACACUUGAUUUCAUAUAAAUAUCAUUGCAUUAUUACAGAAAUUUAGAAUUAAAAAAUUCUCAAAUGACAUCUAUAAAAUACUCAAAUGACUACAAAUUCUAGUAACAUUAUAUCAACUUUCAUGUUUCAAAGGUUUAGGAAACAUGCCACAACCUAAUCUUUUGAAGGCCAACUAAUCCAUGAUAACCAAUAUCAAAACUUACACCUAAUAGGUUAUAAUCAUAAAUAAAUCAACAAUUCAAGGGAAAAUAAAAAAAUUUUACAAAAGGACAGAGCAAAAAACCUGUAAUGUGACAAAAUCAAGGAUAACCUCUUCUGCAAGGGAAAAAAAUGCAAGAUGAUGUUUGGGUACAAAUGGCAAUGAAAUAGAUACAGUCAAAUAUUCAUUUACUAUAACCUACCCAAAAAUAUAUAUAUAUAUUCGCUUACUAUUACAUACAAAAGGCUGGAAAAUAAUCCCUCACUACAUAACUAGAGUAUUUCGAAAAAGAAUUGAAGAAUUUUCCCAAACUUUGACAUGAAAUAUAAAAAAAACGUAAAUUAGGAAAAAAGAAACCAGGAAAAAUUUCUUAUAAAGGCAUUAGAUCGGGAAAAGUUCCAAAAAAAUUUCUCAGAUUUGUUAAAUCCUUUUUAAUACUUUUUGGCCAAGAGCAAAAUUGAGAUACAAAUACGGCAAGAAAAGGAAGAAUACCAGGCAAAAGAGGGGGAGGAAGAGCAAAACUAACCACGUGUUUUAGAACACAAUUUUAAAAACAGAGAAAAAAAUCUUACAGAGUCUCACAAGAAUGCUGGAAGAGUUUCCAAAAUUUUCACCUGCAAUAUCACAAAUAAAUACGAAUUAGAUUAGAUCAGACAACUAAACCAAAAAAGAAAAAUAGAAGGCUAGAGAAAAUCAGGGAGGGAAAGAAAAAAAUACCAACCAUCUGUUUUGAUCCUGAUGUUGCCGGUCAUGGAGAAUAAGAGAGAUAUCCUUAACUAUAGACACAGAGAUCCGUGGGAUCCUACAUGUACAUGCAACCUAUCUGGCAUUCCGUAAUCAGACGCUAGACACAGCCACCGGAGAUCUAACGUCAGUUUGGUACUCACAUAAACAAAAUCACACAAUACUAUACUAUUAGUCCAUCACCAUCAAAGAACCAGUACACAACUGCCAAAUACUUGCAAGGUUUAAGAGACAAUACAGACCUGCCAACUUUAUUCAAAUUACUUGCUAUAUAUGCCAUGCCUCCAUAUACCGCCAUUGCAACGAAAAAAAAUACCUGGGCAUGGUGAUGUAAAACGAAACCCGCCUAUAUAGAGCAGUCCCUGGCCUUUGGCUUUCCCCUGUCUUCGCAUCACUGUCCCUCCAUCUCGCAUGCUCACACAGUGGGAGUGCGGUGGUCUUCUGCUGAGAAUAUAAGUGCGCAAGACAACAUCACUACAAUUUAUUUCCCAUUUUGCCGUUCCCUCACCGUGUUUUCAUGGAGCCACGAGGUGUUCUCCUCUUAGGUUUCAUCUGCGUUAUCGUCGCCGGUGUCGGUGGCCAAGCUCCGCCCAGCCCACCCACCACUACUCCCUCUCCUCCUACUCCCACUGCACCCACCACAGCCCCCUGCUCCUCCUACUCCCACAGCUUCACCUCUCCCUACCACCAAUCCACCUCCAACUCCAACUCCAACAUCAUCCCCGCCUCCUGUACCUUAUCUCCUCCUCUCGUAGUGUCGUCGCCUCCGCCAGCUGUUACUUCUCCAUAGAAAGGAUUUGGGGGUGUCGAGGAAAAUGAAGAAGAAAAGAGAGAGAUGGUCUUAGAGAGAGAGAGAGAGAGGAGAAUAGCGAUGAACAAGGGAGAAAGAGAACCCUUCUUAAUUGUGAUGUAUCGAGCCAUGCGCUAGUCCCAUCUCGGCAGAAUACGUCAGAAAAAAAAGAACAAGGGGUACAGUAGCCAUGGUGGUCCGGUUGUUUGAGUAUGAGAGGAGAAAGCAACGAUGAGAGAGAAACACUUGAUGGGAGAUGAUGGGAGACAAUUAAUGGGAAUAGGAAUCUCGAGCCCACCCCAUUUGUCGUUCCAACCAAGGAGCAGAUAAGGGAACAAGAAAACUCUCCAAUAUUUCUAGCUGGGCACGUGAUUUUGGCAUGAGGAGGACGACCACAUUACUCAAUGCAGAUUUGGUUCCUAGAUAAUUAGAAAAAAAAAAUUAAAGAUAAUUAACUUUGCUGUUCUUUACGUACUUAUCCUCACUAAUUUGCUCCCUUUAAUGUAAUUAAUCAAAAUCAAAACAGCAGAAAAGCCCUUUACAAAAAAAAAAUAGAAAAAAAAAAGUCUUAUGGAAAAAAUGAACUCUAACUACAGUGAUACAUUUUACCCAAUUAUAUGCCCUUUUCUGGAACAAAAUAAUUAGCUUCGGUUCUUUUGUUUACAAAUUUAAGCUCACAAAUUUCAUCCCCAUAAUUAAUUAAUCAAAGUUAUUCUAAAAGAAAAGUCCCCUCUAAGAAAAGAAAAAGAAAAAAAGAAAGAAAGAAAAGUUGUUUUUGUUAUAGUCAAAGAAGCAAAAAAAAAAAAAAAUGUAACCAAUCCUAAUUCUGUAAAUAAAAUUUUUAAAAAUAAAUGUCCAUCCUCUAGAGUAGAAUAUUAGAGUUACUUUAAUAGUUUGCGUCAAAUUUUCAAAAGAAAAGAGUAUUCAUUUUAACACAGGAUGAGAUUUUGACAAAUUCAUUUUAUUAACUGUACCAUUCAUUUAGGCAUUCAUGUAUGUCAUUGAGUUACUAAAUCACACUCACAAGUUAAUUCCCACACAUCAAAUACUUCUGCUUUUGUGAAAGAGCAUUUCAAAUAUAUAUGUCAAAGUCUAUCCACGCACGAAUAUUUUUUGUAGAUCAAGUUAUUAAGCACCAGAAAAAAAAAAAAAGAGACUAGUUAUUUAUUAAGCCAAGGCCCUUAGAUUUUCUUUGUUGAUACACAUAUUCAUCACCCAAAUUGAUCAAAUUCUGCUACAUAGGAACAGUGAAUUACUACAAAAUCAGGUCUCAGGGAAAUAAGUGCUUCCAAAGUGGAAGCUUGUGAAGGUCUAAAAUGUGUAUAAUCAACCCUAUUUUGCUUGAAUUCUGGAUUAGAAUUUUCAGCAUGGUAAAUUCAGACAUAUCAUUAGGGUAACCAUCAUAUUUUGUUUCUCUAAACAUCUGAAAGCACUUCACUCUUUUAAAGUUAGCUGUUUGAUGGGAUUUGGGCACGUACGCUAUCAGGACUAGAAGCAUGUAGCAUGAUUAUGCAUGGGAAUAUCUCAGGAAGGAGUGGGAAUGGUGGCAGAUUACAAGAAACAACUCGACUAUUAAGCCCCCAUUUCUUUGAAGUUGAUGUCCUGGAACAAAUAAAGAAGAUUACCCACCUGGGGCAAUUCUCUGAAGACUACAGAUUAUACUUGAGCAUACAAGUUUUUCCUUUUCUUUGGUAGGAAAAUUUCUGUACUGCCCACUUUGGCAACUUGGGUAAAAUGCAUUACAAUGUCAUGUCCUAGCAUAUAUUGCUUCUGUACCUUAUAUAGGACCACUUUAGAGCGUAGCCUCUUCCCUUCCAUAGUUCCAUUGUAUUGCACUAGCAAGAGAAAAAAGCAUUCAACAAAUAAGCAUGGAUUUCUGUGAAAUCAAUUACACCUAUGGCUUUACUGCAGCUGAUUGGCAAAGCAAAUAAGGAGAUAUUGAAAGCAAAUUAUUCCAUGAUAUCUCCAUUUUAUUAUAACUCAAAAGACACAUGGUAUGGGAUGGAAGAACAGAUGGAAUAAUAGUAGCAAUAGUUACAGAAACUGCCUUGGCAUUUUUGUCCCAUACAUAGACGUAGAUUCCUGUAAUGUCUGUCUUUUAUCCAAGGGACCACAUUCUUGAAGAUCUAUUAAUCUUGAUAAAGUUUGAGAACAAUGAAAAGUUACCACCACAAAAAGUGCUGUAGCACAUGAGUUUCUCCACCACUCCCUCCCCGGUCCUCACAAGAAGAGAAAGAUUAAAAGAAAGAUAAGUAAAAGAGAGAUUAAAAUAGAGGUAAGUAAUAGCACUGGUGUUCAUCAGAGAUAAAAACAGAAGAAACUCGUAGAUCUAUGAGAAGAAUAGAUUGUGAGACAUUUAAACUUGUGUAUUGAGUAAGGAAGAAACAAAACAAUCUGCCUGUUUAAAUACAUUCAGACGUGGUUGAACAUACACAACUAUGGAAAAAAGUCAUGAAUCAGGCACAAGAAGUGCAUCCCAGAUUGUAUCCAUAUCCAGGGAUGGCAUUCUACUUAAUUGAACAGCUUCAGUAUCUACCAAACUUUCUUGGCUCUUCUUGAUAUCAAUCAUCUCACCAGAUUCAAUUUUGCAACCCAAGUCCAGUGGCCACUCUUUUAUGGCAGGGACUUGAAUAUUCAAGCUUUUGAAUCUUGAGUUCUCAUGCAAGACUGAUUUCGGCUGAGAUAUUGGUAACUCGGUAGACUUCUUUGUAGCAGGCAGGCCUUGUGAUAUUGCUUGCAGUUUGGCUUCCAGAAGGGCUGCAGUACUACAGCUGAUGGAAUUAGCCUUAAGUUGGUGUUUCAGGUCCGGAAAGUUCAUAUGUGCAUAAUCUCCCCUCAACAUGUAGGCAGCUGUAUCAUAAGCAAAAGCAGCUUCUUCUGCUGUAUCAAAUGUUCCCAACCACACCCUUGUCCUGUUUCGCGGUAAUCUUAUUUCUGCAACCCAUUUUCCCCAGUGCCUUUGCCUCACUCCUCUGAAAAGCUUUCCUGGAGAUGAUAUUGAUGAUAAAGAAGUCUUCUGAUUGCCAUUUUGGAUUCUUCUGCCCGUGAAUUUCAUCGGUGUUGUUUUGGUGGUACUGAGCCAGUAGUCACUAAAGCCUUUGGAGGAGUUAUUUGUGAUACUCUGACUGAUUUUCAGCCAUGGCAGAAGCUGGCUUUUCCCCAUUUCAGAGAUGGGGAAUAAAGGGUUUUGAGAACAUAGCUGCAUCGGCUCACGCUUCUGGCUCUUUCCAAGAGAUUCUGUUGCUUUUCUGGAUACAUCCAUUAAUGAUGGCUCUUGCAAAAACAAACCUAAAUUUGGGAACUUUGAAGGAGGUGAGGGACAUGGUUCACGUAAUUGAGCUUCAUUUAUUGCAGGGAAGGAUUCAAGGAAAUUCAACGGAAUGUGGCUUCCUGUAUUUUGAGCAGAAGAAGAUCCACUGAAGUAGUCAAAUGUUGCUGAUCCUGAGAGCAAUGAAUGUGCAUCAUAGCCCUUGAGCAUGUCUUUUUGCUCGGAAAAUUCUGAGAAUUUAAUACUGUUUAAUACUGUUGUUGGAAGCAGAAGCCUCUUCUAUUGAAGAACUGGACUCAGGACUCGAAAUCAAUCUGUCCAGUGAAGCUGAUGAUGAUUUUGCAUUACAUCCGCCACCGGAGUCGAUGCAAAAACUCUCAUUCAGGCCACCUGAAAUACAAUUAGGAUCCAUGAGAAAACGUGAUCCUUCAGGCGUUACCGUAAAAAGAGCUGGCAAUUCCUUCUGCAUGAAGGGUUUUCAAUUUGGAAAAACUGAUUCUGCAAGAAAAUGAUGUAUUGAGGAAAACUGAGAACUAGAAAUGAAACUAAUGCUGUUGGCAGAAGCCAGGUAUAUAUAUUAGGCCUUGCGCUAGGUCAUUUUAUGUCAUCACAGGUAUCUUUCAGGCCAUAUUAAAAUAUUGCAGAACCUGCUUUUGUGUCAAUGCUACCAGGUUCUCUUCCAGUUGGGAUCUGUUUCUAAAGAGGAAAAGCUUCUUGCCCUCAAAUACUACCAAAUUCGUGCUUCCCAUUUCCAAUAUUCUGUUUAGGAACCAAUCAAAGCAUGACAAUCAAUGUUUUCUAGUCAUGCCUGUCUUUCAAGAUUACCUGCAAGAUGGAUGUAUAUUCUUCUUGAUGGUGACUACAAGAACAUUAGACCCUUAACUUUAUUUUAUUGGCAUUAUUCAUUGGUGCCUUUAUUUAUUACUUAUCAUGUGAUAAUUCAACAUCGCAAGAUACAUAAUCCCUUUUACUCUCUUAUGAGAGUAAAAUGGUAUUGACUUGUUAUUUAUAAUCAUAUAAUUGAUUACUGUUAGAUUAACGUAUGUUCAGUGUGACACCCUUAAUUGCUUCUAUUUUCUGCAUUAUGACUUGUAUAUGCUUAACCACUAUUGGCCUCAUCAAAUGAUUGACUCCAAGUUUUCAAGUAUUUUCAAGGAAAACUACAUAGUAAUGGAGUUACCAUAAGUUGAAUUGAAAACCUUAUCGUCAACAUCAUCAUUAUCUAGGAAAAGGCCUCAAAAGAAUUCUUUUUAAAUGAGUUUUGCAUCACAAGUUUUAGGAAAUCAUGGCUGUCCUUUUUAGAUCUAGUGCAGGAAGAAUUUGGCAAAGCCAUCAUCCCAACAAGUAUACCUUAUUUGGCCUUUUUUCUUCUGGCAUCUCUACGUGUCCUUUGAGAUGAGCCUGGAGACGCUUUCACCAACUGAUCAAUUUCAAACAAGAAAAGUCCAGAAAUCAAAAGAAACUUAUGAAUGGUCCUUUUCACUUCCAAACUUGAGCCAAAAUAUGGUUAGUACACACUAAGAAUUUGGUACUCUACCCAUUUGCCAAUUAACUAUCAUGUCUGUUUUGAACUUUUGUAUGUGUGUGUAUGAGAGAGGUUCCUUUAAGCCCUUUAUUACCCUUUUGUGAUUUCUCAAGUUAUUCCAAGGGCUACCAUAAUUUCCAGUAGUGCAAUUGCUUAAACAAUGUUAUUUUAAGGAGGUUGCACAUGGUGAAGGCUGGUCUAAUUCUAAUUCUGUGUAUAGAUUAUUGAUUAUUAAUACUUAAGCAGACAUGAGCCCAUGUUUUCAAAAAGUUGCUCUUACCUUUAUUUUGCAAUUCUCUUUCCUAAUCAAAACACACUUCUUUAUUCCUUUUCAAGUCUUGGACCUCAAAUUGAAGAAGACAGCUAGGAGGAAUUUAACCAGAAUUGGCUACAAAUACAUUGCUUUUAGCUUCAAAAGAAAAAAAAAAAAAAAAAAAAGCACUUAGGCAUGUGAUUAGUAGAACUAGCUUGACCAAGCAGACAAAAUGAGAGAUCAUGUGCCCAUCAAAGAAUUUAGCUAAAUAAAGAAAACUAAUCAUUUAAAAAGCCUGACUAUACCAACUGUAUGAGCAAUGAAUAUAUGCUUUGCUCAUCUUUUCCCAUUAUCAUUCAGUUUCUCCACUCAGAAGAAAAGCAUUUUGUCUGGUUUUUUUAAGCUAUUUCAUCAAUUUCAGCAGUUAUCUUUUUUUUUUUUUGCCAACAACGAUACAUUGUAUAACCUCCUCUAUUCUAAUUUAAGGAGAGGGGGAGGCUAAGGGACUUGUGUUAGGGGUUAAUGGGUAUACAGAGCCAACUAGACCAAAAGAGUGCUAUAGUACUACCCUUAGAUUUUUUUUUGGUUCUGUAACUCUCAUCAAUUUCAGCAGUUAUCUUUGCCUACUAUUUGGACAUUCUUCCGUGUUUCCGUGUGUGUGCCACCUCCCUUUGGACAUAUGUUUCAAGACAUUCACGCACUUGAACACUAAUUUUGCCAUUACCAAUUCCCAAGAAUUCAUCAAAGCUACUAUUUGGAUUCCCAAAAAUUUAUCGUAGUUUGUUUGAAAAUUCCCAAGAAUUCAUCAAUGGGUUCCUUCAAAUUCCUUGAAAUGCUCCUAAAAAAUACACUUGUUUCAUUGUGACAAAAGCUUUUCUUAAACAAAAAAAAAAAAAAACAGUCGAAUUUAAUUAGAGUCAUCAUAUUUUGAGAGCAAGUCAAGAAUAAUAAAAAGAUGUUAAUUCGAAAAUUAAAGAGUACAACUAUAUGAAGUCAAGUAUAGUAAAAAGAUGUUAAUUCGAAAAUUAAAGAGUACAACUACAUGCCCUUUUGAGUUCUCAAUUUUUUCAAUUGAAGACCUAAUUCUAUAAGAGUAAAAGUGAGGAAAAACACCAUAUCUAUGCCUUGUUAGAAAGAUGUAAGUCAUGUGAACUUGUACCAUAACAAUUGAAAUAAUUGAGAGAGUCAGAAUUCUGACAAACGAAUGCCCUUACCAGUGAUAUGUUUAGUGCCGCAGGGAAUGAAGGGUCUCUAAAAAUUUCAUAGAAAAUUGUACACAACAAUAGAGAUACCCUAAACAAAUGUACACACUAAAAUAGUCGAUGUAAAAUAACUACUAUAACUUUUGGUACGAAACUUCCCAAAAUGGUAGUAUAAUGCUGAUGUUUCAUGCUAGUAAUUUAAAUUUUUACAUUUGCUGUGUUGGCGUAUAAUUUAUUGUACUUGUAUACACAUUGUAAAUUACCAUUAGGAUGAAGCAUCUCUACAAAUGUCAUAGUGAAUUGUACACAAUAAUGUAUACCCUAGACAAAUGUACACUUUGAUAUAAUCAAUGUAAAACAGCUACAACUUUUGGUAUAAUAACUCCUUUUUUGUUGAUGUAUAAAUUUGUUGCACUAGUGUAAACCUUCUGUUGUAAAGUAUGUGGUAGCUGAAAAUUGUAUGCAGAAGGAUCUCACCCUACCUUUGGCAACUUGAAAGAUGUUGGCUUCUCAAAGUUGCCUACAAAAGCCUUGACUUUAAAGAAAAUUGUGAUCAGAAUAAACAUAUUAUUGUUUCUUUUGGCAGCUUAAGCUGACUAUGAAAUGAAACUACAAAACAACAGGUGCAUGUCUGGUGCAACCUGCCAACCACUUUAGCUUUUGACUAGAUAACUUCACCUUUCAUUUUCCCCUCUAAUUCUUUUAAAGGAUUGAACUUUUAUUCCUGGAAGAUUGUCCUUCCAUGGACAAACUGAGUUCAGUUGUCUAUCAAUGGAACCAGUUACAAAGUCCUAGUCAACACAGAUCAAUGCAUAAUAUUCUGCCAUGACCCACAUAAAGUUAAAGAUAAGAAAACCACUCAAAGAAGAAAAAUGGUGCAAAGGUGAAAUAAUGUAUCCGUAUGGAAUCCUUCUCCUUCAAUUGAUUCUUACUUUAGUUCUACACACUUCUCCAAUCUCCAUCUUUUCGACACAUAUGAGCUUGAGUAGGACGAGAAUCUGUGUCUAAGUUUGUUGAUUGUUGUAUCCAUUUUCUUUACGAAAAUGUUUUGACUUGCCAACUAACUUGUUCAGUAUGUAUGAUGGUUUAAUUGACUAUGUUUUCUUGGCAUUUGUAAUUAUUGCUCUCAAGACAUUUUGCAUUAUAAAUUCAUGUCAGCCUCUUUUUUUUUUUUUUUGAAAAACAUUCUUAUCAGCCUCUUUAAUUCUACAGAAAGAUUUCCAUAUCUUCACCUCUAUGUAGAAAGUAGUCUUUAUUUUUGGAUGAGUUUCUUUUCUUUUUUUUCUCGUGGGGACGAAAUUUUAUAAUCCUUAGCUGAAUUUGAGUUCCUACAGUUUCCUACAUAAAUUUUUUAAACUUGGAUAUUAUUGAAUGUUUCCGGAUAGAAGAUUAUUUUACUAACUUUUGCAAUGUAAUAUAUGUGACAUAAGAAGAUGAUCGGAAAAAUAAAAAAUAUAUUUAAAAAAUGUAUAUAUGAUGCAGACAAAAACAUUUUCCAAAAAAUGCAGAAUGGUGUUUUUCCAUCACAAUGAGGAUAUGAUCAUUAUCUCCAUUACAAUGAGGAUGAAUAAUCUCAUGAAAUCUAAAACGACAAAGAAAUUACUAGUCAAUUAUUGGCAAGAAACAUAAUGCUGUCCUAAAAAUGACAUGAUAUGGCAAAACUUCUCUAUAGAGACUCUAUGAAUAUAUACAAAUCAUGAUCAAGUGCGCCCUUGGGUAACUAGGGUAAAUCCCUAUAAACUUGUAUAGUUAAACUGGGAAUACGUAGACAUCCAGCAAACUUUUUGGAAGGAUUGAUUAAAAAAACUUAUCCCUUUGUGUGAAAACUUAUGUUGUACUUACUCAUCUCCUCAUCAGCAUAUCAUGACUUCCACCACUGUUGGCAUAAUUAUGAUUAUGACCUCGUUCACUUUAUACUUGUUUACAACUAAUUAAUUAAGAUUAUCAACACCACUGCCGUUAACACCAUCAUCUACCUAGUAUUAGUAUAAGCAAAUAAAUUGGAGGACCAAUCAUUUUUGUGUAAAUUGUGGGGACUGAUGAGGAAGAAAACGGUUAGUUGAAGGAAGCAAGAGUCCGAGAAAUUAAAGAAUAGUCGGCUGACGAAUCGUGCAAGUCCAAGUGUCAAAAAUUCAUGGUUCAUUCUUUCAUGACAACUAAUCUUUUUCAAUUAUAUUAUAAGGAUGAUUUGAGCUUUUACUCUAAUAUGUAUACAAUUAUUGAAUACAUAAAUAUAAUAGAUUAAGACAAUAACAAAGUUUCUUUGUCCUAAUUCAUUCAGCUGACAUGUGAAUCCUAGGAUAAUUUUGUUUAAUACAACCAUGUCUCCCUAGAUUAAUGACUGCAGCUCUUGUUUAGUUAUAAACUAAACUGUAACCAUCCACAACAACUCCAUUACAAGAAGUAAUUGCUUAUAUAUUUAUUCAUUUGACUUUGUUUAAUUUUCCUUGUUUUUUGUUCUUUCUCUUCAGAUUUAGUAGUUAUCUCGCGUGCUAAUGGCCACAUUAACCACACAAAUUUAAAAGGCGGCUAUGAGAAAGGAAAAACAAAAGAAAAGGGACUCAAACAAACACUUAAGUAAGGGAUAGCUCACGUAAUAGAAAGUUUAGUUAGUUGAUAAGCUCUUAAUGCAUAAUGUCGUGUACUUUCUUGUUUUUAAAGAAUGCUUAUAAGAGGGUUGGCCUCACCUUGUCCAUGUUACUUGCAAAGAGAGUUGUAUGCUCAAAAGGUAGCCAAUAAGUAAGUUACCAUCACUCCAAUUGAUUACCAAAUUACAAAAAUAAAUUAUAUACACACUGACCGUAUAUACACUAUCAGGGUUGGAUGCAGGGCACAUAUGCAAAAUUUAGAUUUCAAAUUCAAAUUUGAAUUAUGUGUCAUACAUCUAAUUAUGAAAAUGUAUACACUGUAAUGUAUAAAAAAUUAAUUUUAUAUAUAUAUAUAUAUAUAUAUAUAUAUAUAUAUAUAUAGACACAUACAUACAUGUAAACGGUUUUCUUUCAAGAAAAAAGAGCCCACUGCUGUUUUAGAUAAUCAAGCUCUUAUAUAAGUACCUGUAGAUGUAAGCCUAUAUAGCUAUAGGGUUGGUAGAAUUAUGUAUUAGUAGUAGUACAAUAGUACAUAAAGUACUAUGCAAAAAGUUUUAUUGCAAGGAACAUUUCUAUUUCAGAUAUUGAAGUUGUUAUUUAUUGUAAGUGGCCCUUGGUGUAAGCCUAGUUACAGAGUUGGUAGACUUAUAAUAGUUGUAUACUAACUAGGACUUGGUAGAAAAGAAAUUAAAUUAAGGAGGAAAAUUGGAAUGGUUAUUUUAGUUGGUUAAAGGAAUUGUUUUGUAAGUGGCGUGGAUGGCACGUCAUGAAUUGAGCUAACAUGUAGGUAUAUUGGUGGAUGCUUUGUCCUUCACUAUUGGAGAUUUUUUUUUUUUUUUUUUUUUUUUUUUUUUUUGCUUAUUUUUUGAUCUUCUCCAGAGAAUAUAGAGAUGAAUUGCAUGUCUAAAAUUCCACAUUCAUGAAUAAAGUUGACAAAGAGGCCUGUGUACUAUAUACAUUGAAAGUAUGUAUAUAUUUGAAAGUAAAAUAAUGAAUCUUGGUCCAAGAAUUCAAAUAAAAAAAGUUUGGAAAAUGACAAGAAUUGAAUUUUAAGAAAAUAUAAUUCCAAAAAAUUCAUGUGGGGAUUUUUCUCAGGAAUUCGAAAAUACUGUCCUAAAGAGAAAAGGGGAUUGGGAUAAUAGUGGGAUCUAUAUAUCUUAAUAGAAAUUAGAGUCAACCAAGAGAAAAAGGACUGAGAAAUGUGGCAUUAGCACCACCAGGCUUUAUUAGCUCCUCCAAAAAGUACCAAAAAAAAUUUUUUUUUUUUCAGCUUCUCCAAAUUGGUGUUUUUCUUUUUGCAACAAAAUUUUUGACAACGCCAAAUAAUGGAAAAAGCUUGCAUGGAAAUGAACAACGAGAGAAAUUCAUUCUACCAGAUCCCCAUAAACGAAGGAAGUUAAAAAAAAAACAAAGACUCAAGAAAUAAACAAGACAGAACUUGAAAGCUACUGCAUUUGAUUUUUUUUUUUUUUCAAAAAAAGAUUUGAUUGAAAAAAAAAACUGAGAAAUAGUAGUAUAACAAUUCUUAGAACAUAGUGGAGAAUCAAGCUCAGUUAUAUUCUGAACAACUUCAAAAAAUGGGGAUAAAAAAAAACAACAAGACCAAGAAUCUAUAAUACCCAUACGUAAAAUAUUGUAUGAAAAAGACACAUUCAUUGAAUAUAAUCGCCUGACCUGAGGAGUCUCCAAGCAUAAGGUUGUUUAGUCGCUAUAAAUAAAUUGAAGCAGUAUGUAACAAGUAUUGCUAUUCCAUCUACCCAAAAUCACAAUAAUAGUUUGACUGAAUCAUGUAGCAAGUAAUGGAAAUAUGAAAAACAAAUCAGUCUUUUAAAGACUUCCACAUUGUCAAAUGAUAGAUUAAUUAAGUUAUUCUAGUCAAAAUCUUCAAGUUUUGUACCUUGACAGAGUGGACUAAAACCCUGUUCUCGAUUGAUUAUUUUAACUAAUUAUAGAUUUUGAUUUUGGAUAAUCAAUUUUUGUAAUGUUCUCGGUUACUUUUAUAAAUUUUUUAAUGACCAAAAAAGUUAAAAUUUAUAAUCACCCAAAGAGUAGUUUUUACUGAUUCUGAUUAUUCUCUAUGAUCAAUUUCUAUAAUUAGAUUUUGUAAAAUUUAAAACAACCGAGAACAAGGUGAGUUUUGGCUUUAAACGCAUAUGACGACAUGUUCCUCUUUUUUUUCUUUUCUUUUUUGGUUUGCAAGACAAUUUUUUUCUUUUUUUUUUUUGCCCUUUAUAGCUUCUGAUCUAAGAUCUUUUACCCAUUUCCAAAUUGUCUCUAAUAAUUAAGCAAAAAAAAAAAAUUUUUGGCGAAAUUUACGCGGUUGAUGCACCAACUGCUUGAAAUAAGUACUUGAAUUUGACUUGGUAUGAUUCUUGAGCUUUAGCUAUGGAUUGCCAUUCUUUUGAUAUUCUCCACCCGCAUUUUAGGAGAAACUUUUUGGAUAAGGAUAGAAUAUACGUUUAAGACCAUAUCAUUAGAUUAUACCCCAUUGCUGCUUAAAAGUUUCAAAUCAAAAAGAGAAAACUAGGGAUGAUUCGAGCAGUGUCAGAAUAUACUUCCAACUUUAUCAUGAAUUUAAGUCGAUUUAUGCAAAUAAGAACUUAAAUUAACAAAAGAAAUUAAGCUGAAAGAAUAAGAAGAAGUUCAAAUUAUCACCCAUAAAACAAAGUCCACGGUGAACAUGCCACUGAUGGCCAAUUUUUGUCAAACAGGCUUUAAGAUCACCACGUCCCCGAUUGGCAAGUUAAACUGGCUAGACUGGCUAUUGAGUAGGUAUGUAAUCGAGCCGAGUCGAGCUCGAGUAUUGCUAUAUUUGAGCUCGACUCGACCUAUAAAUAACUUGACUCGAGCUCGAUUGAGUCGAAAAAUCUCAAACUCGAGCUUGACUCGAGGAAAUCUUUAAAAGUUCAAGACUCGAUUCGAUAAGACUCGACUCAAGCUUUUUGACUCGACACAUUACUUGUAAAUUCAGUAUAAAUUAUACCCAUAACGGUCAUUUUAUAAUUAUAAUACAUAUAUAUUAUUUAAAUUAUACGGCUCAAAGAGCUACUCGCCGAGCCACGAGCUGCAAAAUUCUGACUCGAACUCGACUCGAAUGUGUAUUCGAGUAGCUCGAGACUCGGCUCGAACUCAGUUUGACCGAGUUCAAACCAAGCCAUUGACCAAGAUACUCGCGAGUAGCUCGGCUCGCGUACAUCCCUACUAUUGAGUUAUUUAUGGGACAACCCACAAGCGGCUCAAUGACCGUAGUAAAGUUUGUCCUCCCCCUAAAGUGGUUCUUAAAUGCUGGGUUCAACCUUAUUUAUGUUGGUUUUGUUUGGAUUGCAUUUUUCUAAAUUUUUUGUAGAAAAAUUACUGUAACGAUUUGAUAUAUGUGAGGUAAAAAAAUAAUUGAAAAAUAUACCCACGAAAAACGUAGUAAUUUUUCAAAGAAAAAUUGCAAUCCAUUCUUAAACUUUAAUUUUCAUUAAGAAAAAGUAUUCAACAUAUUUUAGUUGAGAAACCUUACCGUAAGUCUCUUCUUUCUUCUGAUAAUUUUCGUAACUCUCUUGAUCAUGCACAUCACAAGCGUUUUCUUUUGGGGAAACUGGACAAUUUGAUACUUAAAAUUUUACAUUCAGACUUUGAUGUAAACCAGAAAGGGCCUUUACUAAUUUAACUUGAUGCUUUCUCUCAACCAAAAAUUAAUGCUCGAGCCAUUUUGCAAAGCGUGGAGAAAAGAAACCAAUUAGUUUGAGUUGCCAUAAAGACGUCCACCAAUUGAGAAUUAACUUUUACCACUUCGGAGAAAUUUUGCAUUUGAGAAGUGCAUUAAGUUAGGAUCUCAUCUUACAUUGGCUAAUGGCUACUCCCAAAAGGAUUUAAGACAUUAACUUUUGAGACCUUAAUUGUCGAAUUAUUUGUAAUUUUUAUUUGAGAAACUGUAGAUUAUACAAAAUUAGAUAGUAGAAAUCGAAGACAUGAAGAUGUCUUCAAUAGAGUCCAAAGCCAUUCAUUCUUGCACAAGACUCGAUUUCCCUCAACUCAACAAGAACAAUUCAUCAGUUCUUGACCCCCCGAUCAUACAACCUCCUUGGACUAUUCUCUUCACAGAUCAAUUGAAACCCUCCAAAGCUUGGUGUGUAACCUAACUAGGUAAAGUAUAUACAACUAAACAAUCCAUAUUCUUAGCCUACAACCUUACACUUGCCAAAUGGUAUCUUUAUGUGCAACUUGAGGUCCCUGAACCAGCACUAAGCAAGCCUUUACAAGAAAGCAUCAGCGAAAUAUUCAGCAAAAACCACGAGUAACCUAAUCAACUUUCCUCAUGUCUGAAAUAACACUUUUCCUCGCAUCGAUCAACCUCAAAUAGGUUGCAAUGCAUCCACAUUUUCAAGCAAUUACUGCCUCCUAGGUGACAAAAUCCUUUAAAGCCCUACUCAGCUGUCAGUAUGUGGCCAUCCAUACGGUUAAGCAAAACCAAGUACCAAUGGCAUCAACAGAACCUGCUAUUCUAAUACGACAUUAAAUGGCCAAAACUUUCAUGAUUCUGGAAUUUAAAUGAUUAGACGACAAAGAAAAGCAGAAACCUAAUGUAAAAAUCAUCAGUUUGUUAUCAUGUCACUUGAUGGAACGGACAUGCGGUAAGCUACUUAUUUGAACGCAACACAAGCUAAUUAUAUCAACUCAGAACACCUCUUAAUCUUCUGCUAAAGCAUUUCAAAAAGCUCGUAUCACUCACCCACUUUUUGCAUGUUCCUAAGCCUAUGACUGAGAAUAUACAGAAUUUUUAAGCUCUUAACUCGUACAACAAAAAAAAUAUUCUAAUAGCUGUGAAAUAGUGUUGAGUCCCAAAACGAGCCACGGAAAUAGGGCAGGUAGCUGAUGAGGACAAAGAAAUGCAUUUCCCAAAAAGUUAUUUCCAAAUGGCAAAAGUUGAACCCUGAAUGUCAAGAUUAAUUGUAAGCUUAACCUUUGAGCACUGCAAUACACGUAUCUCAAUUUUAGUUAUGUCAAACAAAUUUCAGGCACUUCACUGUUUAUGAAAAGUAACUGAAAUUUCGGUUAUCAUUUUGACACUUCAUGGUAAAUAGAAGUCUGGCUGGGCUCAUCAUAGGCCUCAUUUCAACAUCCAACUGUAGAAAAAAAAGAUCCAAGUUAUGCAGCACAUCUUUGAGACACCCCAAAUAACAUAUGAAAUGAGUGCCAAACCGUACACCAAUCCUUUGUCAUGCCCACAAUUUUGCAAACUCGACAAGGUCUCCAAAAAUGCUAUACCAUCCUCCACUAGUAGAAGACAUUCAGAUUAAAAAAUAAAUAAAGAAAAGUACAAUAGUUCCCUUCAAAAACAAGUAUAAUGUGGAUGAAGGUUGACUUGGGACCACUCAACUGACAAAUGAGUCCAUAAGUUUUAACAAAUGGAAUGUUUGACUUCCAGCAAGUUGGAAUUAACAGUUUCACAAGAUUACAUGAACAUGGUUAAAAGAGGAUCAUCAGAGAAAAUUCAGGUGCAUCAAACAGGAACACAAAGAUCGACCAACAAGCACCAAAAUCAACAUUACAGUAUCAAUUAAGAUUACAUUGCACAUUAAGUGUAUAUGAAAAUCAUACAGAACAGAACAGAGACCUUGUAGCAGAAGAAAAUACACAAAUACGUAAAGCGAGAAAAAGGGGAAACGAGGGUCUCUUUAAAGUAAGAGACAAUCAGGAAACAUAAUAACAAGAGAGUUCAUUAUUU